CCUCAUCAGAUAUUUCGUUAAAAUUCAUUCUGAAACACUAAAACUAAAUAAUUGAAUAUGGCUUUGCGGGUCGAUGAUGCCAGCAGCAAUGAGACUGCAAUUAUCACUUGUUUAGUUUCUGUGCUUGCCGUGGUUUACUUCGCAUGGAAUGUGAAAAAAUCAAGGAAAGCAAAUGCUAAACUUCCACCAGGACCUCGCGGCUUGCCUGUAGUCGGAUACCUCCCAUUUCUCGGAACUACUGACUUGCACAAGAAAUUCACGGAAUUAUCCGGAGUUUAUGGUCCGAUCUUCAAGCUCUGGCUCGGAAACAAAUUAUGUGUCGUGGCGAGCUCACCUUCCCUAGUUAAACAAGUGGUUCGAGAUCAAGAUACAACAUUCGCCAACCGUGACCCGCCGAUCGCUGUACUAGCGUUCACCUAUGGUGGCAAUGAUAUUGCAUGGUCCAAUUACGGUCCCGAAUGGAGAAAUUUGCGCAAAGCUUUUGUGGGCAAGAUGAUGAGUAACGCAAGCCUUGAUGCUUGUUAUGCUCUAAGAAAACAAGAGGUUAAAAAUACUAUCAGGGAUUUGUACAACAACGACAACAAAAUUGGUAAGCCCAUCGACAUUGGUGAAUUGUCAAUUUCAACCUUGGUAUGUGUUAUUCAGAACAUGCUGUGGGGUGAAGCGCUUGAAACAAGAGAGGAAGGGAUCACUAAUCUUGGGGCUGAGCUAAAAUUUAAGCUGGCAGAACUCAUGGUCCUAAUGGGAACACCGAAUAUUUCGGACGUCUUUCCAGUGCUUUCAUGGUUUGAUAUACAAGGUAUAGAGAGGAAAGCAAAGAAGAUUUCACUCUGGUUUGAAAAUAUUAUAAAUUCUACUGUUGAAAAGUAUAGAAGCAAGGACUUUAUUGUUGAAGGUAAAGAAAGAGCAGGGGAAAAUUUUGAAGGAUCAAGGAACAAGAACUUCUUGCAGUUACUAUUGGAGCUUCAAGAAAAUGAAGACGGUUCUUCCUCAAUUAGCAUGAACCAAUUUAAGGGCGUGCUCGCGGUAUGUUAAGCAACUAGCCACGAACAGUUAUACAAGCACAGUUGUAUAUUUGCAUGAGUGACGCUUCUCAACUUUUUUUAAUUUUUUAAAUUAAAGUUUUAUUGUAAUCUUUUGAACAGGAUAUAAUUACGGGUGGAACCGACACCACAACUACGAUGGUGGAAUGGACAAUGGCAGAGUUGAUGCAGCAUCCACAAGUAAUGAAGAAAGUUCAGGAAGAAUUAGCUCAAGUUGUGGGCAUGGACAGUUGUGUUGAAGAAUUUCAUUUGCCUAAACUGAAAUAUUUAGAUGCUGUGGUGAAAGAAUCGUUUCGUCUGCAUCCUGCAGUGCCUUUAUUAGUACCACGCAGAGCAAGCGAGAGUGGCAGCAUUGGUGGCUAUACCAUUCCCAAAGAUACAACUCUUAUGUUGAAUGUUUGGGCUAUCCACAGGGACCCUCAACUUUGGGAUAAUCCCUUAGAAUUUCGACCCGAGAGGUUUCUGAAUGUUGGUGUCGAGAGUAAGUUCGAUUACUCAGGUAACAAUUUUCAGUACUUACCUUUUGGUUCUGGUAGAAGAAUGUGUGCUGGGAUUCCUCUAGCUGAGAGGAUGCUGAUGUUUGUUUUGGCUUCGUUAUUGCACUCAUUUGAGUGGGAAUUGCCAGCUGGCACAAAGCUAAAUUUAUCUGAAAAAUUUGGGUUUGUCAUUAAGAAAAAAGAGCCUUUGGUUGCUAUUCCAACACCAAGACUAUCCAAUUCAGAGCUUUACCAUUAAAACAGAAUGAUUGUGAUGAUUUUGUUAGUAUCGGAAGAUUUGUAUGUUAUUUCAAGUUCAAUCGUAAUAAAAUAUUUUAAUAAAAGUCCUCCGUUGCUAAUUUUUUUUUUCAACGGCAUAAUCUGUCAUCAUGCUUGUGUUUGGAGCUACUUUGGAAUGAUUAUUUUUGAAUUACAAUUUAUAAAUAUUUAGGUUUUAAAUUUUUUAUAAGAGUCUAAAUUUAUACACGUUCAGUAAAAGAUUCCCUAAAAGCUUUACAAUUCAAAAUUCUAUUAAAAGUAUAGAUGAAACUUUUAUACCUACUAAUUUUUUGGUCUAUUCUACAAGUUUAAAGAGGAGAUAUUUCUAGAGCUAGCAAAAAGAGCUACCUGAUUGUUUUCGCGUUAUGUCAAUUUUUUUAUUGUGUUAAAUUUAAUUUGACCCACAUAUGACCCAUUUAAUAAUCGUGUCAAAAUAUUGAAACUUGAACUUGAUACGGAAAAUAAAUGGAUGACCACACACACCCAUUUAAGAAUUAGGUAACUAUGUCACUUAAUACGACAUAACCCAAUAACUCGUUUAAUACAUAUUUAACAUAAUUUACAUUGUACAUUGUACACCCUUUUGUCAUAAAUUACACUAUUUUAUAUUUCUAAAUAAUAUUAUAUAUUGAUAUUAUAAAAAAAUAUCAAUAAUCUCAAAAUUUGUACACCUCCUAACUUUUAAAAAGAAAUAAAAAAACUAAUUAAUUAAUGUUUAUUUUAUUCAUUAAUAUAUCAUAAUCCUACAUGUAUUUUAUUUGUUAUUUUUUUUAUUUAAAAAGAUAGGAGGGUGGAUGAAACUCAAAUAAAUUUUUAGCCUAUCCUGAUCUUUCAAGUUUCUUAUUUAGGAGGCCAGUUAAAAAAAAUUACUUAGAAAGCUACUCCAUCAAUUUAACAAAUUUUAUUUAUUUAAUUAAUGGAGGUGUAGAAAAUAAAAGUAUCUGCAAGCACAUUGCAAUAGUGAAAGCAAUGUACCGGUGUUGCAACAUAACUGAAUCUUGAUAACCUAUCACAUAUUUUAAGUUUUAAUAUUGGUAGUUCACGGAUCGGUUUCUACUUCCACGAACAAUUAUUGAAGGAAAUGAGUUUUUUUUUUAAUGAAUAUUUAUAGACCCCGAUUAAAUAUUCGAAUAUAUAAUAAAAGAGAAACUGACAUAGAAAUGAGAAAGAUAUUUGGAGGAGGCCAAAAAAAAAAAAAAAAAUGCAACAGAGAAUUAGAUCAGCAACACAAGUAACUAAUUAAUUCAUCUAUACAUCAUAAUCCUAUUUGUAUCUUCUUCCUUCUACUAAUUUACAUAUAAAUUUGGUUAGAUAAAACAUAUUUUAAUACUCGGUCACAAGCGGUGGAUAUAGAAAAUUAAUUUAGAGGGGGUAAUACCAUAACGAAAAAUAAUGAUUCAUAACUAAAAUCAACCCCAACAUCAAAACUUAUUUACAAGAUUACGCCCAGUCAAAGGUAAUUUUUCCUAAAAACUAAUACGAAAUUAAAUAAAUUUAACUUUUAGUGGGUUCAAGUGCCCACGCAUUCUGAACGUAGAUCCACCCCUGGCCCCGACUGAAGCAUUUUUUACAAUAUGUACUCAGUUUAUCAACAGGAACAACCUUCCACUUUAAAUUAAAAUUUUCACUUAAAAAUGAUUAAUGUUAAUGAGGUUAGCAACAAAAAUGAGUUUAAUUAGAGAAUAUUAUAAGAGAAAUUAUAUUUUUUGACUUUUAAUAAAUUAAAAUAUUAUUAGUUGGUGGUGGUUUCACGUCAGAUUAAGACGUGACACUUUACUUAUGAGGUCGAGACAAUCGACUUAAACUAUUUCAAUGCAUUUGAAAUUUGCACUAAUGGCUAUCAUUCUUUGUCCAAAUUAAUACGAUAAUUAAUAACAUACAAUUGAAAUAAUUAAUACUAGCACUUGGCAAUAAAUAAAGCUCUUGUGCUUGAAUCGUCACACAUGAUCACUUCAUUCCUUUAUUUACUUUGCUACCACAAAUUUUGAGGCAUUAUAACUAAAUAAUAAUUGAAUAGGGCUUUGUGUUACUUGUUGUGCGCGCGGAAUGCGGAAUCAAGCACACCAAAUUAUUACAGAAAAAUAAAGGACACAAUUAUUUGACGUGGUUCGGUAAUUAAACUUACAUCCACGGAGGCAAGAAAGAAUAAUUGUUUAUUUAACAAUUAAUAGAGUACAAAUAUUUGAGUAACGAAUCUCACUUCUCAGAAACCUAAAUAUACCCAAUACUCUCACACUCUGCAGGAAAGAUAAAUUAUCCAAACACACUUCUCUCACUUCUCUAAAAAACUUAAAAAUUUAAAAACUUAACAAUUUUGGAAUGCUUUAGAAUAGAAGAAGUGCCAUCUUAUAGGAAAAAUAAUGAUACUAUUGCACCAACCUCUUUACUAUUCCACCUAACAUAAGCAAAUUGUCAAUAGUGUCCAUUUAACUUUUUAUUUUUUUUCUUCAAUUGUUUAGUAGCCCUUUAAAAAUCUGCGUGGUUUCUUGAAAUUUAGAUGCCACAUGCAUGACUUUUCAACACUAAUUACUACGAUAAUUAAUAUUAGCACUUGGCAAUAAAUAAAGCUCUUGUGCUUGAAUCGUCACACACGAUCACUUCAUUCCUUUAUUUGCUUUGCUACCACAGAUUUUGAGGCAUUAAAACUAAAUAAUAAUUGAAUAUGGCUUUGUGCGUCGAUGACGCCAGCAACAAGGGGACCACAAUUAUCACUUUUUAAGUUGCUUUUAAAAUUGAUUUUAAUAGUGAUUUGAUUAUUGUAGUGUUUUUAUUUUUAUAUUAAAAUUAAGUCGAUUUGUUAUAAUAAACUUAGUUGAGUUUAAUGGUAUUACUACAUAAAUUGAAUAGUCAUCAAAUAUUUUAAUGUUUUUAUGGCAAGUGUUGACGUGGCAUUUAUUUGUUGUAUGAUGGAUUUUAAAAUUUAUAAAAUUAUUUGUUAUUAAAUUACCCCCAGAUGCUGCAUCACCUGAAACUUAAUAAAGGGCAUGUAGCAUUGCCAUUACUCAACAUUCACUCUUAUGACUUUAUGACAUUAGAAUUAAAAUCUUUCGUACAUUUAAUUUGUUUGCUUCCAGAUUAAUCUUUAAAAAUAUUUUUUUCACAUUAUCAUGAAUGGACAAAACUCCAACGAAAAUAACUACGCAAGAGCAAUCUAUGCUAGUAUUAUAUGCCACGAUAUCUAUAACUUUGUCAGGUCUCAGGAUCGAUCAUUCUAAUUUUUACGCAGAACUUUUAAUCAAUGGACAAACACCUCACCGAGCUUGUCGGCAGCAUUACUACGAUGUAAAAUUGUACCGGAAUAUCUUGAAGUAUUAGUAGAAUAAUGAAGACUAUUUGGAGCAAUAAAAACAAAUAACGCAGAUAAAAAAAAUGGCUAAAAUUAUGUAAGUGAGCCCCAAAGUUUUUGCUAUUUCCAGGAAAUCCCAAAUUUGAAUGGACUAGAGGGAGGCACGUAAGAAAUACAUUUUCUUCCUAGACAAUGACAGCUAUGACAUCAAGCCACGUAUUGAAAUUAAGGUGUAAUUAUUCAGCCAAUGAGCCUUACACACCAAGAUGUAUAAAAGUCAAGAAAAUGAAAUUUUAUCCCAAUUAAAACACUUUCUGGCUGCAAUUGGCUGUUUCCAUUUGAAGUUAAAAAACAACAACGUUUCUUUCGUUUUGUGGGCGAUUCGAUUGAGCACGCGCCACGAGCUAGCUGGCUUCCAGUGCUUGCGUGUGACAAUAGAAGGCUAGUGAUUUCACUUUCGCUUUUUUUUUUUUUUCUUUUUUUUGGGGAAUCAAGAUAAAAGCCAAGAAAAUGAAAAUUGGGCUGUUUCCAUUUGAAGUUAAAAACAGUGUUUCUUUCGGGGCGUCAAUUUGAUAUUUGAAUGGACAGGCAAGUAAGAAAUACAAUUCCUUCAUAGACAAUGACAACGAGGACAUCAAGGCACAUCAUUAUAGUUUGUAGCCCAUCUACAUUUAAACGAUUAAUAAACAAGCUUAGGUGUGCCACUGCUAUUAUUAAUUAUCCCCUGAUCAUUAUAGUUUCUGAAACAGUAAAACAAAACGAAAUUGAAUACAUCAACGAGAUCGCAAUUAUCACUUGUUUAGUUGCGGUAUUUAACUUAAUUUUAAUCUAAUAUAUUUGUUAGUUAAACUUUUAAUAAUCAAAUAAUUUUGACUUAAAAAUAAAAUUAUAGAAAUUAUUAAUUAUUAAAAAUUCACACAUAGCUAUUGUUUUCUCUAUAUAUUGCAGUGUGUACGAUAUUGAGGGUUGAAGCCCAAAGCAUGCCCUAAAAUCCAGAUAAUAAUUAGAUCCGGGCCAAAUAUUCAUCAUUGUGUCGGCUGAUCAGUCGGUGGACAUCUCUAUUGAAAAAAUCUCUGACAUUUCUCUCGACAAACUUAUUACUAAAAAAAAAUCAGUGGUUUUGCCGUCUGAAUAAUGUAGAAAAAUUUGUCUGUGCAUUAAUCUAGAUGUUUGAGGUGAUUUAUACAUCUGUGAUAAAGAUUUAUAGGUUGACUUAUACGUCUGUGGUAUAGAUUUUAUGUAUUUCAUUACAAAAUGCUGGCCGUUAGAACCCUUUCUACAUCUAUUUAUAAGAUUAACGGGUGCCAGUUAUGCCAUUACAAAUUAUCCCCUCAUCAGAUAUUUCGUUAAAAUUCAUUCUGAAACACUAAAACUAAAUAAUCGAACAUGGCUUUGCGGGUCGAUGAUGCCAGAAGCAAUUCGACUGCAAUUAUCACUUGUUUAGUUUCUGUGCUUGCCGUGGUUUACUUGGCAUGGAAUGUGAAAAAAUCAAGGAAAGCAAAUGCUAAACUGCCACCAGGACCUCCCGGCUUGCCUGUAGUCGGAUACCUCCCAUUUCUCGGAACUACUGACUUGCACAAGAAAUUCACGGAAUUAUCCGGAGUUUACGGUCCGAUCUUCAAGCUCUGGCUCGGAAAUAAAUUAUGUGUAGUGGUGAGCUCACCUUCCCUAAUUAGACAAGUGGUUCGUGAUCAAGAUACAACAUUCGCGAACCGUGACCCACCGAAGGCUGCACUAGUGGUCUCCUAUGGUGGCAAUGAUAUUGCAUGGUCCAAUUACGGUCCCGAAUGGAGAAAGUUGCGCAAAUUUUUUGUGGGCAAGAUGAUGAGUAACGCAAGCCUUGAUGCUUGUUAUGCUCUAAGAAAACAAGAGGUUAAAAAUACUAUCAGGGAUUUGUAUAACAACGACAACAAAAUUGGCAAGCCCAUUGACAUUGGUGAAUUGUCGUUUUCAACAUUGGUAUGUGCUAUACAGAACAUGCUGUGGGGUGAAGCGCUUGAAAUAAGAGAGAAAGGGACCACUAAUCUUGGGGCUGGGCUAAAAUUUAAGCUGGCAGAACUCAUGGUGCUUGCGGGAACACCGAAUAUUUCGGAUGUCUUUCCAAUGCUUUCAUGGCUUGACAUACAAGGUAUAGAGAGGAGAGCAAAGAAGAUUUCACUCUGGCUUGAAAAUGUUAUAAAUUCUACUGUUGAACAGCAUAGAAACAAGGAGUCAACUGUUGAAGGUGAAGAAAGAGCGGGGAAAAAUUUUGAAGGAUCAAGGAACAAGAACUUCUUGCAGUUACUAUUGGAGCUUCAAGAAAAUGAUGACAGUGCUUCCUCAAUUAGCAUGAACCAAUUCAAGGCCGUACUCAUGGUAUGUUAAGUAACUAGCAACGAACAGUUAUACAAGCACAGUUGUAUAUUUGCAUGAGUGAUAUUUUCAACCUUUUUUUUUAAUUAGAAUUUUAUUGUCACCUUUUGGACAGGAUAUAAUUACGGCUGGAACCGACACCACAGCUACGAUGGUGGAAUGGACAAUGGCAGAGUUGAUGCAGCAUCCACAAGUAAUGAAGAACGUUCAGGAAGAAUUAGCUCAAGUUGUGGGCAUGGACAGUUGUGUUGAAGAAUUUCACCUGUCUAGAUUAAAGUAUUUAGAUGCUGUGGUGAAGGAAACAUUUCGUCUGCAUCCUGCAGUGCCUUUAUUAGUACCACGCAGAGCAAGCGAGAGUGGCAGCAUUGGUGGCUAUACCAUUCCCAAAGAUACAACUCUUAUGUUGAAUGUUUGGGCUAUCCACAGGGACCCUCACCUUUGGGAUAAUCCCUUAGAAUUUCGACCCGAGAGGUUUCUGAAUGUUGGUGUCGAGAGUAAGUUCGAUUACUCAGGUAACAAUUUUCAGUACUUGCCAUUUGGUUCUGGUAGAAGAAUGUGUGCUGGGAUUCCUCUAGCUGAGAGGAUGCUGAUGUUUGUUUUGGCUUCGUUAUUGCACUCAUUUGAGUGGGAAUUGCCAGCUGGCACAAAGCUAAACUUAUCUGAAAAAUUUGGGAUUGUCAUUAAGAAAAAAGAGCCUUUGGUUGCUAUUCCAACACCAAGACUAUCCAAUUCAGAGCUCUACCAUUAAGACAAAAUGGUUGUGAUGAUUUUGUUAAUUUUCCGAAGAUUUGUAUGUUAUUUAGUUCAAUCGUAAUAAAAUAUUUCAAAUAAGAGUCCUCCGUUGCUUUUUUUUUUUUUUUUUUUUCAACGGCAUAAUCUGUCGUCAUGCUUGUAUUUGGAGCUACUUUGGAAUAAUUAUGUUUGAAUUACAAUUUAUAAAUAUUUACGUUUUAAAUUUUUUAUAAGAGUCUAAAUUUAUACACGUUUAAUAUCCCGCUUCAUAGAUAUUUAACACAAUUUAUAUCAUACAUUGUAUACCCAUUUGUCAUAAAUUAUACUAUUUUGUAUCUCUAAAUAAUAUUACGUAUUGAUAUUAUAAUAUAUAUAUAUAUGUUUAUCAAAAGACUAUACCAUUCAAUAUAUAUUGAAAAGAGAACAAAGAAGAUUUUCUUAUGGUUUAAAAAUAUUAUGAAUUCUGCUGUUGAACAGUAUGGAAACAAGGUCUCUGUUGUUAAAGGUGAAGAAGCAACAGGGAACAAUAUUGAAGGAAGAAAUUUCACAUGUUUAGUUGCUGAAUUUGCCGCUGUAUUCUAUCGGUAGUAGAGUUUUUAUUUUUCUCUAUUAAUUUAAGUCAAUUUUCUAUAACAAAUUCGGUUGAGUUUAAUUGUGUUAUAAUAUAAAUUGAAUGAUAAUAGAAUUUUCAACAAAUAUUUCAAUAUUUCUAUCUCGAUUGUUGAAGUGCCAUUUAUUUGUUAUGCGAUCGAUUUUAAAAUUUAUAAAAUUAUUUGUUACUAAAUUGCAUCAUAUGCUAAAAUCACCUGAAACCUAAUUCCAUAACUAACCCUUUAUUUUUAGUUCUCAAGAAAUCUUGUAAGAACAAAAAUCUUUUAUAACAAAACUUUUACAACACAUUAAUUUGUAACUCAUUCCUGUGCGCGAAUCACUCUCAAUUUCCUUCAAUUGCUGUUUAACAAUCAUCUACUUAUCAAAAUUCAAGCAUAAUCUUUUUUUUUUAAUUUCUUCAUCAUUCUUUAAAAAAAAAAUCAGGAUAUGCUGUUAAAUUUUGAAAUAAAUAAAUUAACCAAAGUUGGUUGAUGUGAGUGGUUCAAUGAUGAGCAUAAUUUAUAUACAUAUUUUACCUUUAAUUAUAUAAUUAUUAGUUAUUUUUAUUAGUUAUUUUUAAUUAAUUGAAUUAUUUUAUUGCAUAGAGAAUUAAUUGGAGAUUGGGAAACAAAAAGUGCAUAAAGAAUAACAAGUUUGGGAAAGCAUCAAUCAAAGCCGUGACGCAAUUAAGAGUUUAUAGCAUAUGAAGCCAAGAGUAAUUUGCACUCAAAAAGAAUUUCAAUUAUUCAAGUGACCUGGACCUGCAUGGCAUUGUAAUGCAUGGAAAGCAACUUAAAGGGGCCCACACUUGGCUUUUACAAUUGGAAAAAGGAAUCCUAGUGCAAGCUUAAUUGAUGAGCACGUGAGUGAGAGCAAAGAAAAUUAAAAGGCCAAGCCUUUUGGCUUAAGGAAAUAACAAGGUCGGUGGGGCCCAUUUUAAAGAGUAAUAUAAAAGCAAGCUUUUGGCUUUUGGAGAGAGGAGCCGCGAGAGGAGGAAAACGCAAGACAAAGAGAAGAAAAUCUGCAGCAGUUCGGCUUCUAUGGUUGGUUUUAUCUCUUUUGUUACUCUUAAUUCAAAUAUGUCUAGUUAAUUUUCUUAUAUUAAAGUUAAGGAUGAAACCCUAUUCAAUGAAAUAAUUAUCUUUUUAUUUAUUUAAUUCCCAUAUAUGUUCUUUAAUGAUUAUGAUUUUUAUUUCACAUGAUUAAUUGGAUGUUAUUAAAAUUUUUUCAUCAAUUCUGUCAUGCAUUAUUGAUUGUUAGGAUUAAUAUUCAAUUAAAUCUAUACUUAGAUUUAUAACGUUUAUACAUGAUUAUCUUUGAUUCUAUGUCUUUCAUUAAAUUGUUUACAUGGAGUGCUUAGGAAAACUUUGACUCUUUGUUAUUCAAUAUGUUCACAUGGGAUACUUAGAUGUCAUACUAUUAAGCGGAAAAAGAACCUAUAUUAGAUUUAAUUAUUUGGGCUUAAUUGUUAUAUCCAUGAGAUGACACAAAUUGAUUUCGAGUUGUCACUCUAAAAUUAGAGAUUAAUGAAUAUUUAGAUAAUUACUAGUUGAAUAGCGGUGGAUUCUGAAACCUUGGUAAUUUCUAUCUUAUUGAAUUCUCCUUUACUUUAAUUGUUUUCUUAGUUUAAUUAAUUUAAUUUCUUUUAAAACUCAAUUUGCUUAACUAGGUUAGAAUUAAUAUUAAUUUUAGAUUUAAAUUAGACUUUUCAAUUUAUAACAAUCCAUGUGGGAUCGACCUCGUUACCACUACUUUAUUUCUAGAUUCGUGCACUUGCGAGUAUAUUAAAAUUUUCACAACAAGUUUUUGGCGCCGUUGCCGGGGAUUGUGCCAGAAAGUCAGUUUAAUCUAGGUUGAUUUGAUUCUUCCACUAGUUAUAAUUUAUGUUGUCUUUUAUUUUAUUAUUAUUUUUAAUUAACAAAAACACACAAAAAAACUUUUAUUUUUCUUUAAAUUCAUUGUUUGGUUGUUUGAUUUCUUUUAUUUUUUAAAUUUUGUUUAUUCUCAUUAUUGUUGGUUUAUUUUAUUUUAUUUUUUUCUUUCCUUGUCUAGUUAGUUUAUGAGUGUUUGGGAAUGUGAUUCAACAAAUCGUUUGGUAAAAGAGAGUCAAAAAUUGAUAGUAGUCAAGUUAGUUCUUCUGAAGUCAUGGAUGACCCAAAUAGAUUAUUGCCAAUACUUCCACCAGUGCAAGCAGAGAAAACCCUUAGAGAAUAUUUUUCACCACUUGCAGCCAACCAACCAUCUUGUAUUGUGUUGCCACAAACUACAGCAACACACUUUGAACUUUUUGAACUUAAGCCCUCAGUCAUCCAACUUUUACCAUCUUUCCAUGGGUUAGAGAGAGAGGAUCCAUAUUUGCACAUUAAGGAAUUUCUUGACAUAUGCUCUACAUUCCGUUUUCAAAAUUUUAAUGAUGAGUUAAUCAGGCUUCGUAUGUUAUCUUUCUCAUUAAAAGACAAAGCAAAAGCUUGGUUGAAUUCGCUUUCUGCUGGGUCUAUAACUACGUGGGAUGAAUUGAAUAAUAAGUUCCUCACCAAGUUUUUCCCUAUGUCUAAAACAAAUGCCCUUAGGAGAGAGAUAAGUGAUUUCUAUUAAAGAGAGGGUGAGCAAUUUUAUGAGUGUUGGGAAAGAUUCAAUGAUUUACUCCUCAAGUGCCCCCACCAUGGUUUUGAGAAAUGGAGACUUAUACAAUGCUUUUAUAACGGUUUAACCAUGUCGAAUCGUCAUAUGGUAGAGUCUAUGAAUGGUGGGAGAUUUUUGAACCUACAUGAAGGGGCUGCAUGGGAUUUCUUUAAUUCACUUUCUGAGAAUUCUCAACAGUGAGAUUUUUCAAGCCAAAGGGAAAAAUCAUCUCAAGUUUCUAGAAAGGGGUUAUAUGAAGUUAAGGAUGAUUUUGAUGUGAAAUCCACUCUAAUUACACUUUCUAGAAAAGUAGAUGCCUUAGCUCUGAACCAAUCAAUGAAUCAUCAUCCUAGUGUAGCUAAUGAGGUUUGUGCUAUUUGUUCUAACUUGUCUCAAACAGCACAAAACUGUCCAUCAUUACCAGUCUAUCCAGAGGCUUAUUCUGAGCAGGUACAUGCCUUACAAUCAUAUGAGAAAACCUCCAAUAAUACAUAUUCACUCACAUAUAAUCCUAAUUGGAGGAAUCACCCUAAUUUUUCUUGGAAACAAAAUCAAUCUUUGUCAAACCAAGGAGGACAACAAUUUAACAUGCCCAAUCAACAAUUUGUCCCUCCUAACCAAGUAUAUCCUCCUGCCCAACAACCUAUAUCUCAAUUUGUUACACCCCAACAAAGAAAACCUUCUUUAGAGGAUACACUUCAAAGUUUCAUUCAGUCAACCUAAUAAGCUUUUCAGUCAAACACUCAAGCUAUUCUAAAGCUUGAACAUCAAUUGGGUCAAUUAGCAACUACUGUAGCGGAGAAAGAAAAAAGAAAAUUCCCCAGUCAAUCAAUUCCUAAUCCUAAAGGAGUGCAUGAAGUUGGAUCGAGUUCAAGCCAUCAGCAUGAAGAAGCAAAAUCAAUUAUGACCUUGAGAAGAGGAAAAUUGUUUGACAACAAAGUGGAGGUUCAAACAAAGAAGACAUCUGAGCCUACUUCUUCAGAUCCAAUUACAUCACAAGAAUCAUCACCAAAUGAUCUUGAAGAGAGUGACCCGCUAGCUUACAUUCCCAAGGCUCAUUUUCCUCAAAGGUUAACAAAGGUAAAGAAAGGGACUUCAACAUGUGAGAUUAUAGAAAUCUUCAAGCAGGUAAGUAUAAACAUCCAUUUACUCGAUGCUAUUAAGCAAGUUCCUUCCUAUGCCAAGUUUUUGAAAGAUUUAUGCACUAAAAAGAGAAAUUUGCAUGUCACUAAAAAGGCGUUUUUAACUGAACAAACUAGCAAUUUACUUCAAUGUAAAAUGCCACCAAAAUUUAAGGAUCCUGGUUCUCCUACUAUUUCAUGUGUUAUAGGGAACCAAUGUUUUGAUAAAGCAUUAUUGGAUUUAGGUGCUAGUGUUAAUCUCUUACCUUAUUCCAUUUACAUGCAGCUUGGACUAGGUGAGUUAAAAUCAACUCCUAUUAUUUUGCAACUUGCUGAUAGGUCAAUGAAAAUACCUCGUGGUAUUAUAGAGGAUGUGUUGAUACAGAUUGACAAAUUUUAUUAUCCUGUUGAUUUUAUUGUUAUUGAUACUCAACAUGUACAUGAUCUUAAGAAACACACUCCACUUAUUCUUGGUCGUCCUUUCUUAGCUACAGCUGAUGCUCAUAUUAGUUGCAGGACUUGAAACAUGCAAUUGUCUUUUGGUAACAUGACCAUGGAAUUAAAUAUUUUUAAUGUUCCCAAGCAGGCACAAGAAGAUGAUGAAGUCGUUGAAGUAGAUAUGAUAGAAGCAUCAAUUGAUGACUCACUUAUUUCUAACCAUUGUGACAAUCCAUUAAUACCUUGCACAACUGACUCUGAUUUCUCUAUUGAUGUUGAUAGUGAUAUUGAAGAAGUUAAUGCUUUACUUGAUUCGACUCUUAUCAUAGAUCUAAUUAAGUGGAAAGAAAAGAUAAGAUUGAGCCACUUCCUCCUGAAGAGAAAAGUGCAACAUAGGUCACAUUCUGACAUAAAAAAGGUGGUAAGAUCUAAAACGCUUAAAUUAUUAGAUUUUUAUACUACUUUAGAUAACUCUCAGGAAAGCUUAGAACAGAAGAGAUCAAAGCAAUGCGAUAUUGAGGAGUUUCAUUACCAUCAUCCUUUUAUGGAUAAAAUGCUCCAGUGCUUAAUCAAUUAUGCUUUUUGGUAUUUUCUAUAUAAUUGCUUUAAUUUUCACCAAAUUCUUAUUGAUCCUGGUUGAUUUGUUGUUUACAUUAAUUAGUUAGUUAGUCGGAUUUUUUUAUUAUUAUUUAUAUUUCUUCUAACGUUUUCUUUUGAGUUGUCAUUCUUUUAAGUUUUCCUAGCUCAGUCAGGUGUGUUCUCUCCAACUUUCUCUUUUAUUAUUUAUGUUUUUAUUUUUCAUCUUUUUGCGUGCAUAUCUUUUAUUUAUGACACAUUGAGGACAAUGUUCCGAAUAAGUUUGGGGGUGGGAAUAAUGUUGCUUUGUUUGUUAAAAAAAACUAAAAAAAAAUUUCAAAAAUUCAAAAAAAAAUUGUGUUUUUUUUGUUUUUACGUGAAAAGCCAAUGAUAAAAACUUGAUUGACAAUGAAUAUGGUUUUUAGAAAGGGUUUAAUAUUGUCUUAAUUUAUACUUGAUUCUUAUGUUAGUUCCUCUUGAUUGAGAUUCUUUAAAAUAUAAGCACUAAUAUCAAUUCUUUCAUAAUUUUGACUUGAAAUUUGAGAUUGACGCAGCCUGAGUUGAGAAUUUUAGAUAGAGUAAAUGACUGUUUGUCUUUAUUCUUAUCUCCACAAUACAAAAUAGUAUACACAGGCACCAAAGUCAGAAAUAACUACCUAUAAUCCUUAAGAGUGAAGCUAUCCUUGAGUAAUUUAGGCCUAUGUACCACAAGUAUGUAGAGGAUAAUCUACCAUGAGAAGAAUGCUACCUUAAGGGGUAGAGUGAAAGCUCCUGACUAUGGUUAAAAAAAAAAGAAGAAGAAAAAGAGAAAGAAAAAAUCAAAUCAAGUGCAUGUGCUGAAAAAAAAAUCAAAAGAAAAUGCACAUAAAAGCCUGUGAAAAAAAAAUUGGAGAUUAAGAUGAUAAGAUUAGCUUGACCUACUCUUUUCUUUUUUUGAGGCGAAGGUUGUUGAUAUUGAAGAUUUUAGGAAUGAAUUUGAUUGAAUUGAUUUCACACACACACAACAAGAAUCGAAAGAGAGAUGGGAUUGAUUAUUGAAUUAAAGUUAGAACUUUGCCAAUAUUUGAAAUUUUGUUUGAGCUAUAUAAUUUAUGCAAUCUUUGAGGGUAUUUUCAUAUUUUAUUUAAAGUUUUUUUUUCUUUUUAUUUUAUUUUAUUUAUUUUUUAUUUUUUUAAAAUGAUGUUUGUGGGUGUCAUCACUGAAGCUCUCACGAGACUAUAACUCGUCCACUAGGGGUUUAAAGGCUUGUUGCAUACGCUAAAUGCAAUCGCGAUUACCUGCGAAAAUGGUUUAGUUAGGAUUUACUUUUUGUUUUGUUAUUUUUUUUUUUUUUUUUAGUUUUAGCUUUGCUCGAGGACUAGCAAAAUCUAAGUUUGGGGGUAUUUGAUGAGCAUAAUUUAUAUACAUAUUUUACCUUUAAUUAUAUAAUUAUUAGUUAUCUUUAUUAGUUAUUUUUAAUUAAUUGAAUUAUUUUAUUGCAUAGGGAAUUAAUUGGAGAUUGGGAAACAAAAAGUGCAUAAAGAAUAACAAGUUUGGGAAAGCAUCAAUCAAAGCCAUGACACAAUUAAGAGUUUAUAGCAUAUGAAGGCAAGAGUAAUUUGCACUAAAAAAGAAUUUCAAUUAUUCAAGUGAUCUGGACGUGCAUAGUAUUGUAAUGCAUGGAAAGCAACUUAAAGGGGCCCACACUUGGCUUUUACAAUUGGAAAAAGGAAUCCUAGUGCAAGCUUAAUUGGUGAGCACGUGAGUGAGAGCAAAGAAAAUUAAAAGGCCAAGCCUUUUGGCUUAAGGAAAUAACAAGGUCGGUGGGGCCCAUUUUAAAGAGUAAUAUAAAAGCAAGCUUUUGGCUUUUGGAGAGAGAAGCCGCCAGAGGAGGAAAACGCGAGACAAAGAGAAGAAAAUAUGCCGCAGUUCGACUUCUAUGGUUGGUUUUAUCUCUUUUGUUACUCUUAAUUCAAGUAUGUCUAGCUAAUUUUCUUAUAUUGAAGUUAAGGAUGAAAUCAUAUUCAAUGAAAUAAUUAUCUUUUUAUUUAUUUAAUUCCCAUAUAUGUUCUUUAAUGAUUAUGAUUUUUAUUUCACAUGAUUAAUUGGAUGUUAUUAAAAUCUUUUCAUCAAUUCUGUCAUAUAUUAUUGAUUGUUAUGAUUAAUAUUAAAUUAAAUCUAUACUUGGAUUUAUAAAGUUUAUACAUGAUUAUCUUUGAUUCUAUGUCUUUCAUUAAAUUGUUUACAUGGAGUGCCUAGGAAAACUUUGACUCUUUGUUAUUCAAUAUGUUCACAUGGGAUACUUAGAUGUCGUACUAUUAAGCGGAAAAAGAACCUAUAUUAGAUUUAAUUAUUUGGGCUUAAUUGUUAUAUCCAUGAGAUGACAUAGAUUGAUUUCGAGUUGUCACUCUAAAAUUGGGGAUUAAUGAAUAUUUAGAUAAUUACUAGUUGAAUAGUGGUGGAUUCUGAAACCUUGGUAAUUUCUAUCUUAUUGAAUUCUCCUUUACUUUAAUUGUUUUCUUAGUUUAAUUAGUUUAAUUUCUCUUAAAACUCAAUUCGCUCAACUAGGUUAGAAUUAAUAUUAAUUUUAGAUUUAAAUUAGACUUUUCAAUUUAUAACAAUCCCUGUGGGAUCGACCUCGUUACCACUACUCUAUUUCUAGAUUCGUGCGCUUGCGAGUAUAUUAAAAUUUUCACAACAUUCGGCACUCUCACUCCUUAAGAGAGGUCAGGGGUUCAAGCCUCGCUCUCGUAUGGAGUCACCACUUUGACCAGCACUUUACCCCUUACAGACCGACCCGGUGCGAGCAUGAAUUAGUCUGGGUUGUGGUACGGGCUUAAAGGUGCCUCCCACAAUUGAGACCCACUCAGGACCACCUCGUGGUUCGGACAAAAAAAAAAUUGAAAUAAAUUAUCUCAAAAUAAUUACUAACCAGAAAAAACAAAGGGGUUUAACUAGGUUAUGCAUACCUUUGAAAAUUAUAUGUUGAUCGAUAAGCAUGAUGAUCACGAUUGAGGAGUUUAAUUAAAAUUUAUAAGAUUUUAAAAUUAAUCAGGGUUAAAUUCUAAAUUUUAGAAAGAGAGGUUUUGUGAGAAUGCUGAAAGGGUGUUAAUAGUUCCACUCUUUUUUAAAAAAACCAUAGUCAUCAUUUUUCCCGAUUUCUUCUUCCCAUCUCCAUCUUAUUUAGAAAUUUCCCAGAGCCUUUGUUUCCCACCAUUCAUUUUUCUUCUUUCUAAUUUAAGAUUAUAGUAUUAUAAAAAUAAUUACUCACAUUUUAUCAAACACCUCCAUUAUACCAAGGCCUUGUUUUAGUAGUAGGCUUUUAUUAUCUCAAUAAAAUUGAAAAAACAAAGCUCAAUAAUAUUGGAAAAAAAACCUACCCAUAUUUGUAACUUUAAUUUAUUAUUCUCCAUAGACCUACUUUUUAGCUUUGAAUUUUGUUGGAGCCAUAUAUAAACAGAAUAUGUUGAAAUCAGCACAAAAAAAAAACUAAUUAUAUAAUUUUUGUUCCCAAGGACACGACUGUGUGAUUUUUAAGAAGUUUUGUUUGGCUGGCCACUUAGGUUUAAAUCUUGGUGGAGAUUAGGGGUUAAGAAAUAAAUUUGGACUUUGCACACCCCUUUAACUUUUAAAAAGAAUGAAAAAAACUAAUUAAUUAAUCUUUAUUUUAUUUAUUAAAUGUCAUAAUCAUAUGCAUAUUUUAUUUGUUAUCUUUCUAUUUAAAAGAUAGGAGGGCAAAUAAAACUGAAAUAAAUGUUUAUCCCUAUCUCCAUCUUUCAAGUUCCAUAGUUAGGUGACCAGCUAAAGAAAAUUAAUUGAAAGUUACUCCAUCAAAUUAAAAAAAAUUAUUUAUUUAAUUUGUGGAGAUGUAGAAAAUCAAACCCCAUACCUUUUCGCAUGCAAAAGUGUCAACCUGGUCUAGCUAUGUUGCAACAGUAAACAUAUUUUAAUACAUGACUAUCAUCUUUUAUCCUAAAUACUACUAUAACUAUGGGUUCAGUUAUGCUGUAACUGUGGUAUGGUACCACAGUUGUUUUCAACCAUUAAAUUCAACUUAUAUAACUAUGCAACUGUAGAUCUAACGGCUGAAAGCAACUAUGGUACCAUACCACAGUUGCAACAUAGUUUUGCCCCUAUAACUCAUAACAUUCAAUUGAAAUAAUAAAUGUUAACACUUGGCUAUAAAUAAAGGUUUUGUACUUGAAUCUUCAUGCAUGACCUUCAUUCCUUUAUUGACUUUGCUAACACAGAUUUUGAGGCAUUAAAACUAAAUAAUAAUUGACUUUGUGGGCCGAGGAUGCCAGCAACAAGGAGACCACAAUUAUCACUAGUUAAGUUACUCUAAUUGCCGUUGUCUUAUAUUCAUAAAAUAUUAGUAAUAAGAUUAUUGUAGAAUUUUUUUAUAUUAAAAUUAAGUCAAUUUGUUAUAACAAAUUUAGUUGAGUUUAAUCGUGUUACUACAUACAUUGAAUAAUAAUAGAAUUCUCGACAAAUAUUUCAAUAUUUUUAUCCCAAGCGUUGGAGUGGCAUUUAUUUGUUAGACAAUCGAUUUUAGAACUUAUAAAAUUAUUCGUUACUGAAUUGCACCAUAUGCUGCAUGACCUGAAACUUAAUAAACGGAACGUAGCGUUGGCAACAUUCACUGUCAUGACUUUGUGACAUUAGAAUUAAAUUUUUUUGCACAUUUAAUUUGUUUACUUCCAAAUUAAUAUUUAACAAAAUAUUUUUUCACAUUAUCAAUGGACAAAACUCCAACGAAAAUAACUAUACAAUAUAUGCUAGUAUUGUAUGCCAUAUCAUCUGUAAUUUUGUCAGGAUCGAUCAUUUUAAUUUUUAAGCAAAACUUUUUAUCAAUGGACAAACACCUCACACAGCUUGUCAGAGGCAUUAUUAUGAUGGAAAACUGAUAAACAGUGAACUCGAAACUCAAUUACUACAAGUCGUUUAGAGGAUUCAGUCUUGGAUGACUUGUCACUUGUGGAAUUCUUGAAGCCAGAACCGACAUAAUCUCAGUCGUCAUUCUGUCUUAAGUAAUACACAUGGUUUGCAUGUGUGUUGAAGCUGACUCUUUGCUUGGAUCAAGAAACGACGUCUUUGAGUGCCGUUUCUUAAACACACUUUAAAUCAGCUUGUGUCAAGCACGUGAGGUAGAGCUUUUUGAAUAGAUUUGGCGGGAAUGGUAGUUAGUGUAACAACCCAGAAAUAGAGGUUAAAAGGUGAAGGCUUUGUCAUCAUCUACACAUGAUUUGGGAAACAUUGAGAGUAGAGAAAAAGAUAGAGAGAGAAAGGGGUUAACAAGUUCUUGUUCUCUGUAAAUCGAUUUAUAUUCUUGUAAAGUUUGUGAUCUCAAUUAGUGAAAGACUGUUGCUUUGUUUCCAGUGGAUGUAGGCACCACUUCUUGGUGCUGAACCACUUAUACUUGGUGUCAUAUUGUUUCUUUAAUGCUUUGAUUCUUGCGUGUGAUUGUUGCUGGAUAAUCUGUGCUGUUAAUUCUCAAACCAUUGAUACAGAAUUAAUGUCUUGGGGAGAAUUUGGUUAGUCUUAUCAAAGCCGAAUUCACAACAAAUUGGUAUCAGAGCCCUCUUUUCUGUAUCAAGGUUCAAGAAAUGACUAACAAGGUGGAUCUUGAGAAGUUCAAUGGUCAGAAUGAUUUCAAUAUGUGGAGGAUCAAGAUGGAAGCAUUGUUAAUCACACAAGGUCUGGGAGAUGCCAUUGAUCCAGUCAUUAAGAGUGAAAAUGCAGAAGCCUAUUCUUCAAGAACUCCAGAACAGAUGGCUAAGAUUGAAAAAAAGGCAAGAAGCACCAUCAUCCUCAGUCUUGGUGACUUAGUGAUAAGGGAAGUUGCCAAGAAAAAGACUGUUGCUAGGCUCUGGGCAAAACUGGAACAAUUGUAUAUGACAAAGUCCUUAGCAAACAGGCUAUACAUCAAGAAAAAGAUGUUCUCACUGAGGAUGAUUGAAGGAGCAUCACUUGAUGAACACAUAGAUGAGUUUAAUAAAGUUUGUGAUGAACUGGAAACAAUUGAUGAAGGACUGAGUGAUGAGAGCAAGGCUUUGCUGUUAAUCAGUUCUUCACCAAAAUCAUAUGAACAUUUUGUGGAUGCCUUGUUAUAUGGAAGGCAAUCACUCUCCUUGGAAGAGGUUAAAUCUACUCUUGGUACCAAGAAGUUAAAAGAAAAACAAGAUAACUCAGAGAGUGAAUCAAGUGAAGGGCUGAUGGCAAGGGGCAGAUCUGAAAAAAAGGAGUACAAAGGAAAAAAACAAGGGAGAUCAAAGUCAAAGCAGAAACAUUUGAAGUGUUUUCACUGCCACAAAGAAGGGCAUUUCAAGAGGGAUUGCCCUGAGAGAAAAACAAAGCAAAAGGAAUCAAAAGACAAAUCUGGAAAUACAGCAAUAGCCACAGAAGAAACCAGUUUUGAGAUAGCUGAAGUCCUCAUUGCCACAAAAGAAAAAAACUCAAGGUCAGUGGGUACUAGACUCUGGAUGUACUUUUCAUAUGAGUCCAAAUAGAAAUUACUUUACUACAUAUCAGUCCUGUGAUGGGGGUAUGGUGCUGAUGGGAAAUAAUUCAGUUUGUAAAGCAGUUGGGAUUGGGACUGUAAGCCUUAAGAUGUAUGAUGGCAUGGUUAGAGAACUAACUCAGUUUAGGCAUGUUCCUGAGCUUAAAAGGAACCUAAUAUCUAUUGGCAUGCUUGAUCAAACUGGAUGUGUCAAUAAGGCUGAAAAUGGGUCAUUGAAAGUUAUCAGAGGCUCAAUAGUCAUAAUGAAAAGUUCCAAGCAAAAUGGUUUGUAUGUGUUGAAUGGACAUACAACUGUUGGAGAGGCAAGUGUCACUGAGAAGAGUGAAGACAAAGCAAGACUAUGGCACUUGAGGUUGGGGCAUAUGAGUGAAAGGGGAUUGAAGGAGCUUCAAAAGAAUGGGGUGUUUGGAAGUGACAAGCUAAGUUCUUUGGGGUUCUGUGAAGACUGUAUCCUAGGGAAGGCUUCCAAUCUCAAGUUUGAAUCUGCAGUUCAUUCUACCAAAGAGAAGCUUGCAUAUAUACACUCUGAUAUGUGGGGGCCUGCACAGGUAAAUUCUCUUGGUGGCUUUAAGUAUUUCUUAUCCUUAAUAGAUGACUAUUCAAGGAUGGUUUGGGUGUAUGUACUCAAAACCAAAGAUGAAGCUUUGGAAAAGUUUUAGAGGUGGAAAAUUCUGGUAGAAACACAGACAAGUUUGAAAGUAAAAGCUCUAAGAACAGAUAAUGAAUUGGAAUUCUGCAACAAAGAGUUUGGAGACUUUUGUAAAAGACAUGAGAUUAUGAGGCACAAAACAGUCAUACACACACCUCAGCAAAAUGGUUUUGCUGAGAGAAUGAACAGAACCUUAAUGGACAAGGUGAGGUGUAUACUGCUAUACUCAAAGCUGCCUAAGUCACUCUGGGCAGAGGCCUUAAACACAGCAUGUUACUUGGUAAAUAUAAGUCCAUCUACAGCAAUAGAAUGCAAAACACCUAUCGAGCUAUGGUCUGGAAGGGUUGCAGAUUACUUUAAACUGAGAAUCUUUGGAUGUGUUGCUUAUGCAUAUGUCAAACAAGGCAAAUUGGAGCCAAGAGCUUUAAGGUGUAGAUUUCUAGGAUACCCUGAUGGAGUUAAAGGCUAUAGGCUAUGGUGCAUUGAUUUGAAGCCACCAAAAUGCAUUAUCAGCAGGGAUGUAACUUUCAAUGAGUCAGAAAUCUUGAACAAAUCCAAAACCACUUAAUCCAAAGAUCAUAUAUCAGAAACAAGACCUGGGAGUGUUCAGUUUGAGGUGGAGUCCUAUGAACAAGAUAGGACUGAAUCAGAAACUGAAGGAGAUUCAGGAAGGGUUACUGAUGGAUUUGAUGUUGUUCAGGAGUCAGAGCCAGCUGAGAAUGAAGAUAAUUCUUAUCAGUUGGUCAGGGAUAGAAAGAAGAGAGCUGUAAGACCACCUAAGAGGUAUACAAUAGCAGAUUUCAUAGCUUAUACAUUAACAGUUGCACAAGAGGUAAAUGAGGAAGAGCUAAGAACCUAUAAAGAAGCUAUAAACAGCAUGGAUAAGAUGAAAUGGAAGGAGGCUAUGGAUGAGGAAAUUGAAUCACUAAUGAAAAAUGGAACUUGGAAGCUGAUAGUUAGACUAGAAAAAAGGAAGACUGUUAGCUGCAAAUGGAUCUUCAAAGUUAAGGAAGGUAUAUCUGAUGCUGAACCUAGUAGGUUUAAAGCUAGGCUGGUAGCAAGAGGCUUCACACAAAGAGAGGGGAUUGAUUUCCAUGAAAUCUUCUCUCUAGUUGUGAAACAUGCCUCCAUCAGAGUCAUCUUAGCUUUAGUUGCCAUUCAAGACAUGUACCUGGAGCAUAUGGAUGUUAAAACAGCCUUCCUGCAUGGUGAAUUACAAGAAGAAAUUGUAAUGGAACAGCCUGGGGGGUAUGUGGUGUCUAGUAAGGAAAAUCAUGUGUGCUUACUAAAGAAAUAUUUAUAUGGAUUAAAGCAGUCUCCUAGGCAAUGGUACUUGAAGUUUGAUAGUUUUAUGACAAAACAUGCCUACAAGAAAUGCAAUUAUGAUUGUUGCGUGUACUUUAGGGACAUUGGUGAUGGAAAGAUGAUUUAUCUUAUGCUGUAUAUGGAUGACAUGCUUAUAGCAUGUCACAGCAUAGAUGAAAUCAGUCAUUUAAAGAAUCUCUUGAGCAGUGAAUUCGAUAUGAAAGAUCUUGGAGCUGUAAGGAAGAUCUUAGGUAUGGAAAUUAUCAGAGACAGGAGAAGGAAGCUUAUGUUUUUAACCCAACAGAGCUAUGUUAAGAAGGUGUUGCUUAGAUUUGGGAUGCAUGAAUCCAAGUCUGUUCAAACACCUUUGGCAAAUCACUUCAAGCUGUCUGCUGCACAUUGUCCACAAACUGAUGCAGAGCAAGGAAAAAUGGCAAGGAUACCUUACUCCAGUGCAGUUGGGAGCCUCAUGUAUGCCAUGGUUCUCACUAGACAUGAUAUCUCACAUGCUGUGAGUAUAGUGAGUAGAUUCAUGGCAAAUCCAGGUUAUGAGCAUUGGAGGGCAGUCCAGUGGAUAAUGAGGUACCUGAAAGGCACUAUGGAGUUUGGUCUGCUAUAUGGAGGGUUAAAACAGGAAGGGCACAAGCUGGUGGGGUAUGUUGACUCAGACUUCGCUGGAGAUCUUGAUAAAAGGAGGUCUCAGACAUGUUUUAUAUUCACUUUGGGAGGCUGCACUGUGAACUGGAAAGCUACUCUGCAAAGUGUGGUAGCUUUGUCCACAACUGAAGCCGAAUAUACAGCAGCUGCAGAAGCUUUUAAGGAAGUCAUCUGGUUAAAAGGAAUGGUCUCAGAGUUAGGAGCAAAACAAGAAACAGUUGAAGUAUACUGUGAUAGCCAGAGUGCAAUACAUUUGAGUAAAAACCAGACCCAUCAUGAAGGAACAAAACAUAUUGAUGUAAAGCUUCAUUUUGUAAGACUUGAAGUUUCAAAGGGAACUGUGAAGAUGCUCGAGGUUCACACUGAUCAAAAUCCAACCGAUAUGUUGACUAAAGCUGUGCCUUCUGCCAAGCUCAACUUCUGUUUGAGCUUAGCAGGAAUUUGCAGUUUCUGAUCAGCUGCAAAAGAAAGGGAAUAAAGUAUACAGGAGUAGCUAGAGUUCAGAGUUCACACUGAUUAAAAGGUGCAGGCUUUGUCAUCGUCUACACAUGAUUUGGGAAACACAGAGAGUAGAGAAAAAGAUAGAGAGAGAAAGGGGUUAACAAGUUCUUGUUCUCUGUAAAUCGAUUUCUAUUCUUGUAAAGUUUGUGAUCUCAAUUAGUGAAAGAUUGUUGCUUUGUUUCCAGUGGAUGUAGGCACCACUUCUUGGUGCUGAACCACUUAUGCUUGGUGUCAUAUUGUUUCUUUAAUGCUUUGAUUCUUGCGUGUGAUUGUUGCUGGAUAAUCUGUGCUGUUAAUUCUCAAACCAUUGAUACAGAAUUAAUGUCUUGGGGAGAAUUUGGUUAGUCUUAUCAAAGCCGAAUUCACAACAAAAACUGUAAUGGUAUAUCUUGAAUUAUUGGUAGAAUAGUUCUUUGGAGCAAUAAAAACAGAUAAGACAGAUGAGAAAAUUGUCAAUACCCCACCGCAAAAGCAAAAGAAAACAAGGAAAGGAGACAAAAGAGGAAGAAGAAAAAGAAAAAAGAACGAAGAAAAAAAUGGUGCCGUGCGGUAUAGGCAAGAAGAAAAAAUAAUAAAAAAUAAUAAAAUAAUAGUGCACAACAAUCAUUUGAUUGCUAUAAAUAAAAGGCGUUUCCCUCAUUUUAUUCAUCGAAUUCUUCAGUUCCUUUCAAGCGAUUUAAGAGUCUAGUGAUUUGAGAGUUUGGGUGUAGUAUGAUUUUGGGUAGUGAGCUAAAAUACUACAAUACUUGUAACUCAUUUUUAUUAGUAAAAUAUUUUCCUUCUGACUUCGCCCGUGGACGUAUGCUAAAAGCCGAAUCACGUAAUUUCUGGUGUCCCUAUGUGAUUAUGUGUCUCAUUAUUUCUUAAUUUCACUUUAGUUGCGUGUCUGCGACACCCCUCAAUUUAUUAACAAAAAAUGGCCAAAAUUAUAUAAGUGACCCAAAUUUUUUUGUUAUUUCCAAGAAAUCCCCAAUCUGAAUGGGCUAGACCAGAGGGAGGCAAGUUAGAAAUACAUUUCCUUCAUAGACAAUAACAGUGAUGAGUCGAUGACAUCAAGCCACGUCGGUAUCAAUAUUGAAUUAAAGGUGCAAUUAUUCAGCCAAUGAACCUUACACAUCAAGAUAAAAGUCAAGAAAAUGAAAAUUUAUCCCAAUUAAAACACUUUCUGGCUGCAUUUAGUUGUUUCCAUUAGAAGUUAAAAACAACGUUUCUUUCGUUUUGUGGGCAACUCAACUGAGUUAGCUGGCUUCUAGUGCUAGUAUGUGAAAAUAGAAGGCUAAUGAUUUAUUUAUUAUCUUUUGACAAAAUUAUUAAAGAUAUAAUAGAUUUUCUAUGAUACAAGUGAAAAAUCACAUCAACAUAGCUUUCAAUCUACAGCAGCUAGCGUUUACCAAACACUUUGUUGUAGCUUUUAAGCUAUAGCUGCCCAACCUCAAUCUCAAACGCACCCUUAAUAGGUUGAUUGAAUUUGUGAGAUAUGGAUUCCACAUAUCUCAUGACCUAGUAAUUAUACAAGUGGUUCGUGAUCAAGACACAACAUUUGCUUCCGGCCUAGUGACCCAGCAAUCGCUGCACUGGUCGCCACCUAUGGUGCCGACGAUAUUGCAUGGUCCAAUUGUGGCCUUGAAUGGAAAAAGUUGAGCAAAUUAUUUGUGGACACGAUGAUAAGUAACGCAAGCCUUGAUGCUAGUUAUGGUCAAAGAAAACAAGAGGUUAAGAAUACUAUCAGAGAUAUUCAUAACAACAAAAAGGAAAAAAAAAAGGCAUUUGCAAGCCCAUUGAUAUUGGUGAAUUGUCGAUUUCAACUUUGGCAUGUGUAAUCCAGAACCUGCGCGCUGUGGUAUGGCGCUGGCACGCUUGCAUUAACGAGGGGACAAGUCUUGGGGCUGAGCUAACAUUUAAGCUCGCAGAACUCAUGGUGCUAAUGGGAACACCAAAUAUUUUUUUGACAUAUUUUGGUGCUUUCAUGGUUUAAUUCAAGGUAUAGAAAGGAGUGUUGAGAAUGUCAAAUAAAACGGCAUUGAAUGGAAGUUGUCAAAGACACGAUCCGCACCGAACGGCAACGACACGGUUGCUAAAAAUCCUUCCAUAAUAUGCAUAUCUAAUUUUUUAAAAAGUGUAACCUCUGCAUUUAUAAAUAUACUCAAUGUAUAAUGUUUUACUUAAGAAAUGAAAAACUUGUUUGUUCAAGGAGAAUAAAGAAAAUUUUUCUAUGAUUUUUUUAUGGUUUGAACAAAGAAGGUUUUAAUGAGUAUUAUAGACCUCGAUUGAAUGUUCGAAUGUAUAAUAAAAGAGAAACUGUCACAUAAAUGACAAAGAUACUUGGAAAAAAAAAAAGGGCAGCAAUAGAGAAUUAGAUUCGACUGCACAAAUAACUAGUUAAUUCAUCAAUACAUCAUUUUCUUGCUAGAAAAUGACAAUUAUGACAGCAAGCCACGAUAGUGUCAAUAUUGAAAUUGAUUUGCAAUUAUUCAGCCAAUGUGCCUUACACGUCAAGAUAAAAGUCAAGAAAAUGAAAGUUAAUAUCAAUUAAAACACUUCCUGGGCCGCAUUUAGCUCCAGUUUUUGUGGUAGGAAAACAAAGUUUUGUUUUAAAUUCACAUGGUGUGCACUUCCUAUAUAAAUCUAGAGUUGUGUCCCACGUUGAACAAUAAAGGAAAGUCACCUAAAUAUACAUGUAGGAUAAGUUACUUUAUUUAGUAAGUUUGUAUUUUCUUCUUUCUUCUAGUUUACAUAUAAAUUUGAUUAGAUAACUUAACACAUAUUUUAAUACUUGAUCAGAAGCCCUACGUACAGGUGGAUCUAGAAACUUGAUUUCUAAGAGUAAUACUAUAAUAAAAAAAUAAUGAUUCAUAGAACCAAUAUCAAAAUUUGUUUACAAGAUUACCCCCACUCAAAGGUAAUUUUCAUAGAAAUUAAUAGGAAAUUUAAUUGUUAGUGGGGUCAAAUUGCCCCCACACUCUGAAUGUAGAUCCACGCCCGACCCUGAGUCAAGUAUAUUUUGCCACAUAUACUCUGAAUGUCGGCAGGAAAAAUCUUCCACUUUAGUUUAAAAUUUUCACUUAAAAUUUAUUUACGUUAAUAAAGUUGGUAAAGGAAAUGAGUUUAAUUAAAGAAUAUUAUAGGAGAAAUUCUAUUGUUUGGCUUUUAAUAAAUUAAUUAAUAGGUUUAAAAAGAUUAAUAUACAUCAAAAUAUUAUUAGUUGGUGGUGGUUCCACAUCGGACUAAGACGUGGCACCUUACUUGUGAGAUUAAGACAAUCAGGCUUAGACUAUUUAAAUAUGUUUGAAGCUUAGAUGGCACCGCUUCAAUUUGCAUUAAUGAAUGUCAUUCUUUACCCUAAUUACUACGUAAUUGAUAACAUGCAAUUGAAAUAACUAAUAUUAGCACUUGGCUAUAAAUGAACUAAAGGCCGUGCAAUUGAAUCUUUACUUGAUCACUUCAUUCCUUUAUUUUGCUAACACAGAUUUUGAGAUAUUAAAACGAAAUAAUAAUUGAAUCUGGCUUUGUGGGUCGAUGAUGCCAGCAACAACGAGACCACAAUUAUCACUUGUUUAUUUGCUGUAUUUGACGUUGUUUCAUAUUGGUAGUAAUAACUAAUAAGGUCGUUGUAGAGUUUUUAAUCUUUUUUUUUAUAUUAAUCACGAGGUAUCCUGGGGAGGGCCCCAACUGUGGGAGGCACCUUUAAGCUCGUACCACAACCCAGACUAGAAGUCCCCGCUCGAACCGGGAGGCACAGUUUUUAAUCUUUUUUAUAUUAAAGUUAAGUCAAUUUGUUAUAAAUAAAUAAAAAAUUGGUUGAGUUUAAUUAUAUUGCUAUGUACAUUAAAUAAUUAUAAUAUUCUCGAGGGAAAAAGACACCUAGAACCUCAAGGUUUGGGGAAAUGGUCACAAAAACUCCUAAGUUUUAAAAAAGGAACACUAAAAUCUUUUUUUACCCAUAAUACCCUUUGACUAUAGUAAUUAGAAAAUUGACUUUAAAGGUUUUUAAAUAAUACAAAUUUAAUAUAAAUCAUAUAAUCUAUCUAGUACACUAAUAAUAUUAAAUUAUUUUUUAUAUUUAAAAUAAUGUUAAAAAAUUUAAAUUAUUAUAUUUAUUUUAAUAAUAUAUUUAUAAAAUUAUAAAGAUUUUAAAUAAAUCUUUGGAUUGAAUAUAUUUUACAAUUAAAAGUCUUCCUAUUAAUAAUAUUAAAAUUAAAUUUUAAGUAAUAUAUAUUCAAAAUAUUUUUAAUUUAAUUUUAUUUAUUUUAAUAUUAUGUUUCUAUCUAUUAUUAAAAAUUACUUUAAUAUAAUAAAAUAGGUCUAAUAGAUUGAAAAAUAUGAAAAUAUUUUUAAAAUUUUAAAUUAUUUUGAAAUGUAUAUAUUAUUACAUUUAUUUCAAUGUCAUAUUUCCAUUUAUUAUAAAAUUUUGGGGUUAUUUUUUUGGGAAUUUAUAGAGUCAAAGAGCAUUAUGGUUAAAAAAGAGUCUUGGUGUCCCUUAUUGAAAACUUUAGAGUUUUUGUGACCAUUUUCCUAAAUCUUGGGGGUGUUGAAGUGGCACUUAUUGUAAGAUUGAUUUUAAAAUAUGUAAAAUUAAUUUUAUUACAUUACCAUAUGCUACAUCACCUGAAACUUAAUAAAUGGAACGUAGCAUUACUCCACGUUCACCGUUAUGACCUUAUGACAUUAGAAUUAAAAUCUUUCGUACGUUUAAAUUGUUUACUUCCAAAUUAAUCUUUCGUAAAUAUUUUGUACAGAUCUUAUCGGAGUUAGCGUGUUCAUUACAGUGUUUCUUUUCUUUUAUCCUUUCUUUUGAAACGUAUUUCCUGUGGACAAGGAAAGCAAAUAAUACCCUGCCACCAGGACCUCGCGGCUUGCCUGUAAUCGGAUACCUUCCAUUUCUCGGAAUUACUGACUUACACAAGACAUUCACGGAAUUAGCUGGUCUAUAUGGCCCGAUCUUCAAACUCUGGCUUGGCAACAAAUUGUGUGUAGUGGUUAGCUCGCCUUCAACUAGUUCUAUAAGAAUAUCCCUUUUAAGGGAUUCUCUCUCUGCAAAAUUUUUUUAUCUUCUGGUGCAUAAUAAAAACUUAUGCCACUUCAUUAACCACAGAUAUCUUUUGAGGAAACGAUGUUUCGUUUUCUUUUGUUUUUUCCUUCCUAAUCCUCGCAUAUCGUGUGAAGGCUAAUAUAUCCAAGAAUCUAAAUCUCUGUAAAUCUUUUUCUAUCCAAAUCUACAUAAUAAUUUAAUCCAUGCACAAUAUCUAUAAUUAUAUCGGCUGUCGGCUGAUUUCGUGGAGGGGGCGGCAGUUCAAAUUUUUUACGUGCAUGUUGGAUGGACGUCUCUAUUAAAGGAGAGCCACCACUUGCAUGGUAAUUUUUUUAAAUAAAUAUAUACAUUUCAAAAUAUUAUUUCAUUGUUGUAUAGUUAACAUGUCACCUUAGAUGUAUUUUAGAACUUCUCCUAUUAAAGAUAAUCUCAUGCAGUGAUACUUCUCGUGAUCUAAUCAUUAGUAGAAUCUAUAAUUUCGCUACUGUAAUAAAAUCUGUCCCUACCCUAUAUGAAUGUAGAUAUUUGACGCGAUUUGUAAUUGCUUCCGACAGGAAAACAGCAAUAGUUUAAUUGAAAUUUGUGGUAUGGAUUCCACGAAUCUUAUGACAGAAUACUGACCACUCCAACCCUAUCCACAUUUACACGAUUAAAACACAAGCUUAGAUGUGACAAUGCAUUUGUCACUUUUGUUCAAAUUCAUCCUGAAACACUAUACACUAAAUAAUCGAAUAUGGCUUCGUGGGUCGAUGAUGCUAGCAGCAACGAGACUGCAAUUAUCACUUGUUUUGUUGCUGUACUUGUCGUGGUCUAUUUCGCAUGGAAUGUAAACAAAUCAAGUAAAGCAAAUGCUAAAUUGCCACCAGGAUCUCGGGGCUUGCCAGUAGUCGGAUACCUCCCAUUUCUUGGAACUACUGACUUACACAAGACAUUCACGGAGUUAGCUGGAGUUUAUGGUCCGAUCUUCAAGAUUUGGCUUGGGAAUAAAUUGUGUGUAGUGGUGAGCUCGCCUACCCUAGUUAAACAAGUGGUCCGUGAUCAAGAUAUAACAUUCUCAAACCGCGACCCACCGAUCGCUGGAACUGUGACCACCUACGGUGGCAAUGAUAUUGCACUUUCCAAUUAUGGUCCCGAAUGGAAAAAGUUGCGAAAAUUAUUUGUGAGCAAGAUGAUGAGUAAUGCAACCCUUGAUGCUUGUUAUGCUCUAAGAAAACAAGAGGUUAAAAAUACUAUCAGGGAUUUGUACAACAACAAUAAGGAUAAUAUUGGCAGUGGCAAUGGCAAGCCCAUUGACGUUGGUGAAUUGUCGAUUUCAACUUUGGUACGUGUUAUGCAGAACAUGCUGUGGGGUCAAGCAUUGGAAACAAGAGAGAAAGAGAUUACUAAUCUCGGGGCUAAUCUUGCAGAACUCAUGGUGCUACUGGGAACACCAAAUAUUUCGGAUAUUUUUCCAGUGCUUUCAUUGCUUGACAUGCAAGGUAUAGAGAGAAGAGCUAAGAAGAUUUCUCUAUGGUUUGAAAACAUUAUCAAUUCUGGUGUUGAACAGUAUAGAAACAAGUUUUCUGUUGUUAAAGGUGAAGAAGCUGCAGCAGGAAAAAAUAUUGAACGAUCAAGAAAUAAGGACUUCUUGCAGUUACUGUUGGAGCUUCAGGAAAAUGAAGAUAGUGCUUCAUCUAUUAGCAUGAACCAACUAAAGGCCGUGCUCGUGGUAUGUUAAGCAACUAGACACAAAAAGUUGUAAAAGCACAGUGAUAUAUUUGCGCGAGGCCGCGAGUGAUGUUUUGCCUCGAGAACUCUCAAUUUUAUCUUACGGUAAAAAAUGUUUUUCAACUUUUUUUAAUUAGAAUUUUAUUGCAAUUUAUUUAACAGGACAUAAUUGUGGCCGGAACCGACACCACAACUACGAUGGUGGAAUGGACAAUGGCAGAGUUGAUGCAACAUCCACAAGUAAUGAAGAAAGUUCAAGAAGAAUUAGCUCAAGUUGUGGGCAUGGACAGUUGUGUUGAAGAAUAUCACUUGCCUAAAUUAAAUUAUUUAGAUGCUGUGGUGAAAGAAACAUUUCGUUUGCAUCCUGCGUUGCCCUUAUUGGUACCUCGCACGGCAAGCGAGAACAGCAAUAUUGGUGGCUAUACCAUUCCCAACGACACUAAUUUUAUGUUGAAUGUUUGGGCUAUUCACAGGGAUCCUCAACUUUGGGAUAAUCCCUUAGAUUUUCGACCUGAGAGGUUCUUGAAUGAUGAUAUCAUAAGCAAAUUCAAUUACUCGGGUAACAAUUUUCAGUACUUGCCAUUUGGUUCUGGUAGAAGGAUGUGCGCUGGCAUUCCUCUAGCUGAGAGGAUGUUGAUGCUUGUUCUGGCUUCGUUGUUGCACUUGUUUGAGUGGAAAUUGCCCCCGGGCACAAAGCUAGACUUAGCUGAAAAGUAUGGGAUUGUCAUGCGGAAAAAAGAGCCUCUGAUUGCUAUUCCAACACCAAGGCUACCAAAUUCAGAUCUCUACCAGUAAGAUCAAAAUGGUUGUGAUGAUAUUAUUUCCCAUUGUAUUGGAAUAUUUUUGUGUGAUUUGAAGUUCAAUCAUAAUAAAAUAUUUUAAUAAAAUGUCCUCGGUUGCUAAUUUUUCAAUAGUAUACUCUAUCAUCGUUUCUAACUGUCUUUUAGAGCCAUUUGGUCUAAUUUAUUUUUGAAUUAAAAUCCAUAAAUAUUUAAAUUUUUGAAUCAUAUUAAGAAUUAUCUGGAGUGUAUGGUCUGAUCUUCAAGUUCUGGCUUGUAAACAAAUUAGAGUUCUGAUAUUUGCCCCGGGUCAAACCCCGAAAUUAAAUAAAACGGCGUCGUUUUGUUUUUUUUUUUUUUUUUUUCUUUUUUACUUCUUCCAAACGUUGCCAUUUCACUUGUCAUUUGCAAGUGACUCCAUUGAUCCUUAGUUGAAACAGAGUUACACCGUAAAUCUCUUCCUCUUCGUUUCUUCGUUUCACCAGGGAACGAGACAGAUAAAAUCCAGCCAUUCUUCGACAUAACAAGAUAUCGAUUAGAAUCCAACGACAUAACUAUAAACCAUGACAUUGCGCUUGAUUUUGCGAAAUACCGAUUAAGAACCAGUAACUUUGAAUCCAAUGACCGUUAAGAGUUUGAAAUUGGUUUCAAAUGACUAAUGAGUUAUCAGAUUUCUUUGCGUCUACAUUUUCCUUGAAGGUUUCUCAGCAGCCAAACAAAUACAAAGCAAAUUGCAGAAGAAACACAUUUUGUUCCAAUGAAAAAUGUACGGAAACAUUUUAAAUAUGGAAAAUUACCUCAAAAUGAAGGCUCGCAAGAGAUUCGAGCAACAAAUUAGAUCAAAGGAACCGGCGCUGAGCAAGAAAGUGAGCUCAAAGAUUCCGAAACACAAACGUAAAUUCACAAAAAUGCAAAUCUAUGAUGAACGCCAAGAUCAAAAUUUUCGAAGAAAGGGAGCUGAAAAAAUAAAUGAAACGUCAAACUAGAUGACAAUGGAUUUGCUUCUUCAAAGGAGACAAUGAAAUUGUUACUAGAGACAGCUAGAGAAAUAGAGAGAGAGAGAGAGAGAGCUUGAAUUGGCUGUACCCCCACCAGAAAGUGGGUAGUGCCUUUUCCACUUGGACUUGAUAUGCGAAUCUGAAAAAAUCUGAACGAAGGACUGACUCAUCCCAGCUCGAAAGCAAACCAAGCUAGGACUGACUGAAAACGUUGCCGUUUGGAGAAGUUAAAAAAAAAAACUAAACAAAACGACGCCGUUUUGUUUAGUUUCGGGGUUUGACCCGGAAUUUGACCCGGGGCAAACAUCAUUUUCCAACAAAUUAUGCAUGGUCGUGUACACGCUUUCCCUAAUUAAGCAUGAGGUUCGUGAUCAAGGCACAACAUUCACUCCCUGCGACCCAACAAUCGCUACAUUGUUUGCCACCUAUAGUGCCAACGAUUUUGCACGGUCCAAUUAUGGUCCCCAAUCGAAAACGUUGCGCAAAUGUUUUCUGGGCAAGAUGAUAAGUAACGCAAGCCUUGAUGCUUGUUAUGGUCUAAGAAAACAAGAGGUUAAUAUAUAUAUAUAUAUAUAUAUAUAUAUAUAUAUAUAUAUAUAUAAAUUGGCAUUGUCAACUUUUGUAUGUUUUAUUCAGAACCCGCUGUGGGUUGACGCUAGCAUGCUUGCGUUAGGAGACGAGGGGACCAAUCUUGGGGCUGAGCUAAAAUAUAAGCUUGUAGAGAUCAUCUUGCUAAUGGUAAUGUUUUCCGAUGCUGGUUUAAUUCAUGGUAUAAAAAGGAGAACAAAAAAGAUUUUUCUAUGCUUUGAAAAUAUUAUAAUUUUUAUUUUAUAAUUUUUAAUAAAAUCUCUCAUUGAUAGCCAAACAAUUAAAAUUUUUGUAAAGCUUUUGUGGACUUUUGAUCGCGUAUGGUGCCAAUGUAUUGCGUGGUCCUAUUAUGGUUCCAAAUGGAGAAAGUUGCACAAGUUUUUUGAGUACCAGAAGAUCAGUAAUGUAAGCCUUGAUGGUUGUUAUGGUCUAAGAAAACAAGAGGCUAAAAAUUCUAUCUGGGAUUUUUAUAACAACAACAAAAUUGGCAAGCCCAUUGACAUUGGUGAAUUGUCAGUUUCAACCUUGGUAAGUGCGAUUCAGAACAUGCUGUGGGGUGAAACGCUUGAAAUAACAAAGAAAUGGAUUUACUAAUAUUGGGGCUGGGCUAAGAUUUAAGCUUGCAGAACUCACGGUGCUAGAGGGAACACCGAAUAUUUUGGAUAUCUUUCCAGUGCUUUCAUGGUUUAAUAUACAAGGUUUUCAGAGAAUAGCAAAGAAGAUUUCUCUAUGGUUUUAAAAUAUUAUCAAUUCUACUGCUGAACGCUAUAGAAACAACGUCUCUAUUGUCAAAAGUGAAGAAGCAGCAGCAGCAGGGAACAAUAUUGAAGGAAGGAAUAAGGACUUGGUGCAGUUACGCUUGGAGCUUCAAGGUAAAGAAGACAAUGCUUCAUCAAUUAGCAGGACGCAAUUUAAGAGCUUGCUCGUGGUAUGUUGCGCAACUAGCCACAGACAGUUACAGAAACUGAGUUUGGCAGAUUACGACCGUUUCUGGUGAUUACAUAAUUAUUUGUGGCUGUUUUUUUUUUUUAAUUGUAAUUUUCUUAACAGGAUAUAAUUUAGGGUGGAACCAACACCACAACUAUAAUGGUGGAAUGGACAAUGGCAUAAUUGAUACAGCAUCCACAAGUAAUAGAGAAUGUACAGGUAGAACUAAAUCGGGCCGUGGCCAUCGACAGCCAUGUUGAAGAAUUUCACCUAGCUAAGUUAAAAUAUUUAGAUGCUGUGGUGAAAGAAACAUUCUGCACUGUAAUAUAAUACAUGAAUCAUAUGUCCUCUAUUGUUUUUUUAUUUUUCUCUUUUUUUCAAUAGCUUAAUCUAUCAUUAAAAUCUUCUGAAAUUCUAAAUUAAUAUACAUUCAACCUAGAGUUCAAGCCAAAGUUUUAUUGAGCAUUAAAAAAAAAAAAAAUUCUACGACUCAAAAUUUUGUGGAGUAUAAAUUAAAAAUUAUGCGCCUACUAAGAGACAAAAAAUAAAUGAUACACAUUAACCAAUCAAAGGCGAACAAGAGAUUAUUAACAAUAACCUAAUAAUAAAAUUAUAAUGAAUAAAAAAGAAAUGGUACCUAGAAACACAUCACAGCCAUUUAAGCAAUCACUUACCCACAAAAUCCAAACAUAUAAACUAUGUGGGGGGGGGGGGGGGGGGGGGGGGUGUCAUGAUACCUUUGGGUUUCAUGAUAAUCAAAAUUGCAAUACCAUUAAAGACUCAAAAAUAAAAAAAAUCAUAGCCAAUAAAAGAGAAAAAAUAACCCACAAAAAAUCAUCAAGAAAAUAAAUUUGAGACUAAGAGAAGAUAUUAAUUAAACCCUGGGUUGCCUUGGAACCACGGCUUUGGCUUCCAUUUUUCAAUUCUUGGCGACAAGUCAUUUCUUGUUUGUUUACAAAGAUGACGGCUGAUUAAUGAAGCUCUAUUAACAAUGAAUAAAUAAAAAAACUGGCGCCUUGAAAAGACUAACGGUCAUAUUUUUCAACUCCGAAUUAGUGCCGUUUGAUGAGUCCUUGCCAAAACAAUCACUAGGCAAAUAACAAUCAUUUUUCAACCAGCAAAACUCAUUCAUUGUAUUUCACCUUAGUCAAGAUUUAAAAAUUGUUUCAAAAUAAACCUAGUGGUUAGAACCCAAGCGUCACAAUUGUGAGGUCAUGGGUUUGAGCCCCCACAACGUAUUGUGGGGGUUAAUUUUCUUCUUCAAUUUGAGUGAAAACAGUUCUCUCCCUUUCGAAAUGUGGGUGGAGUGGACGUCCCUCAAAUAUUAGAGAGGGUUCAAAUUUGGAUUGUACUAUAUAAGAUUUAUAAAUUAGUCCCAGUAAUUAUCUGAUUGUAAAUAUCAAUAUACUAAUCUAAUUAAAUAUGAGUUGUAAUAUGAGCGUUAGUCUCAUGUAAUUAAAAAAAAAAUGUUUCAAAAUAGGAUUCUUAAAAGGUUGGGGAAAUGGCCAUCAAUAUCCCCAACUUUCCAAAAAGAGACACCAAGACCCAUUUUGACCAUAAUACCCUUUACUUCUAUUAUCCCCAAAAAAUUGACUCUAAUGUUUUAUAAUAAAUAAAAAUAUAACAUUAAAAUAAAUGUAAUAGUAUAUACAUUUUAAAAUAGUUUCAAUAUCUAAAAACCAUUUUAAUAUUUUAAAUCCUAUUAUAUAUAUAUUAAAGUAAAUUUUAUAAUAAAUAGAAUCAUAAUAUUGAAAUAAAUGCAUUAAAAUUUAAAUUAUUUUUAAUAUUAUGUAAAAUAAUAAUUUUAUCAUUAUAAGUAUAUGAGAAUUUUUUUAAUUGUAGAAUGUAUUUAAUGCAAAUAUUUAUUUAAAAUCUCUACAAUAAAUAAAAAUAUACUAUUAAAACAAAUCUCUACAAUAUAUACAUACAUACAUAUACAUUGGCCUGGUAUUUUAUUUUUCAUUUUUUAAACUUAUUAAAUCCUCUAACUAUCAUUUGAUUAUUUUUUUCAAUGAUGAAGAGGCCAUUGCCGGAUAAAUUAUUAAAAUCAACUAGUUCUACAAGAAUGUCCCUUUUUAAAGGAAGAUGAUUCUCUCUCUCGAAAUUUUUUAUCUUGUGCUACAAACUAAAAACUUAUGCCAUUUCAUUAACCACAGAGAUCUUUGAGGAAAUGAUGCUUCGCCCCCCCCCCCCCCCCCCCCCCCCCCCCCCCCCCCCCGCGGCGCCAAAAAGUGUCCUUCCAUAUUUUGUGAAGGCUAAUACAUCGAUGAAUCUAGAUUUCUUUAAAUUUUUUGUUUUACUCAAUUCGAGAUAAUAAAUAGUUUAUCUUUAUUAAAUCUUUACUUUAACAAUGAUAGAUAUUCAAUCCAUGCAAAUAUCUAUCAUUGUAUGAGCUGAUUGCGUGGAGGGAGCGGUAAUUGAAAUCUAAUUGAAAACAGCAGAAGGCUGUUCUUGACAGAUCUCAAAUAUAUUACGGACACGUUGGGAGACAUCUCUAUCAUAGAUAUCCCCAUGCAGUGAUAUUUGUCGUGAUCUAAUUUUUAGUAAAUCUGUAAGAGAGAUUGUAACAUCUUUCAAGUUUUUUGGUUUGAUAUUCUAGACGAAAACGGUUUGUCGUUUCUUGAGCAAACGGCUAACCGUUUAAGUCCAGAGAGCAUGUUUGUUGUUCUGGAUAAAACGGCUCACCGUUGUUGCGAAAACGGCUAACCGUUUAACUCAAGAGAGCAUGUUUUAUGUUCUAGAGAAAACGGCUCACCGUUAUUGAGAAAACGGCUAACCGUUUAUUUACAGAGAGCAACGUAUUUGAUAUUCUGGAAUAAAAUGGCUCACCAUUUAUUGAGAAAACGGCUAACUGUUUAUUUCCAGAAAGGCGUCAAUUAGAAAAACGGUUAGCAAGAAUGAAAAUUUCAAUUGACAAUCGAUGCAAAUUCAAACCAAAAGAGUGUCUUCGAAAAAGUACCAUUUCUAAUGGUUGUAUUCUUUCAAAUAAACAUCUUCUUCAUUAAAGAAAUACACACAAUUAGAUUGAUAAUCAGAUUUUGACAGGUUUCUUAUAUGUUCUGGAAAUACAAUCUUAUUUGCUAGAGAUUGUAUUCAGGAUUUGUUAUAUCUUGGGGGUAAUUUGCCAUUAAAACUAUAUAGCAAACCAAGAUUGGUGAGGGCAAAUAAAACCUUAAAGGAAAGUAUGCAAACACGUCUCAAAUCCUAUGAAACUUUCUUUGUUCUUUGCCUCCAUAUUCUUAUUAUUCACUAACAAAAUCCCCAUGCAGUGAUAUUUGUCGUGAUCUAAUUAUUAGAAAAAUCUAUGAUUUCGCUACUGUAAUAAAAUUUGUCACUACUCUACAUUAAUCUAAAUGUCUGAUGAGAUUUGUAAUUGCUUCCGACGGGAAAACAGUUAAUAGGUUGAUUGAAUGUAUGUGGUAAAGAUUCCACGUAUCUCACGACAGAAUGCUGACCACUGGAACCCUAUCUACUUUUACGCGAUUAAUUCACGAGCUUAGGCACGACAAUUGCAAUACAAAUUAUCCCUUCAUCAUAUAUUUCGUUAAAAUUCAUUCUGAAGCACUAAAACUAAACAAUCGAAUAUGGCUUUGAGGGUCGAUGAUGCCAGCAGCAAUGAGAGUGCAAUUAUCACUUGUUUAGUUUCUGUGCUUGCCGUGGCUUAUUUAGCAUGGAAUGUGAAAAAAUCAAGGAAAGCAAAUGCUAAACUGCCACCAGGACCUCGCGGCUUGCCUGUAGUCGGAUACCUCCCAUUUCUCGGGACUACUGACUUGCACAAGAAAUUCACGGAAUUUAUUUUACUAUUAUAUUUAUAUUCAAAAUAAUUUUAAUUAGCUUUUAAAAUGAAUGAUUUUAGGAAAUUAUAAAUAAAGGUAACUAAGAAUUCUCUUAAUGUAAUAUAUUAUUAAUUAGUUUAAAAAUACAAAUUUAUUAAUUAGAGAAAUUAUUAGUGAAUUUAAAUUAAUGAUCUUAAUGAUUUGUUUGUACGAUUGCCCCCAAUCAAAGGUAAUUUUCCUAAAAAUUAUUAGGAAAUUAGAGAAAUUUAAUUUUUUUAGUGGGUUCAAUUGCCCACACACCCCGACUGAAGCAUUUUUUACAAUAUGUACUCCGUUUGUCGGCAGGAAAAUAAAGGUCUUGACACAUGAUCACUUCACUCCUUUAUUUACUUUGCUAACGCAGAUUUUGAGGUAUUAAAACAAAUAAUAAUUGAAUAUGACUUUGUGGGUCGACGACGCCAGCAACGAGGAGACCGCCAAUUAUCACAUUUUAAGUUUGCUGUAAUUGCCGUUGUUUUAUAUUAGUAGAAUAUUAGUGAUAAGAUAAUUGUAGAGUUUUCAUUUUUUUAAUAUUAAAAUCAAGUCAAUUUAUUAUAAUAAAUUUAGUUGAAUUUAAUCGUAUUACCACAUAAAUUGAAUAAUAAUAGAAUUCUCGACAAUAUUUCAAUAUUUUAAUCUCAAGCAUUGGAGUGGCAUUUAUUUGUUAUACGGUCGAUUUUAGAAUUUAUAAAAUUAUUCGUUGCUGAAUUGCACCAUAUGCUGCAUAACCUGAAACUUAAUAAACGGAACGUAGCGUUGGCACCGUUACUCAACAUUCACUGUUACGACUUUGUGACAUUAGAAUUAAAAUCUUUUCCACAUUUAAUUUGUUUACUUCCAACUUAAUAUUUAACAAAAUGUAUGUUAGCAUUGUAUGCCAUAUCAUCUGUAAUUUUGUCAGGAUCGAUCAUUCUAAUUUUUAAGCAGAACUUUUUGUCAAUGGACAAACACCUCAUACAGCUUGUCAGAGGCAUUAGUAUGAUGUAAAAUUGUAAUGGUAUAUCUUGAAUUAUUUUAGAAUAGUGAAUAACUAUUUGGAGCAAUAAAAACAAAUAAGACAGAUGAGAAAAUGGCUAAAAUUAUAUAAGUGACCCAAAAUUUUUUGCUAUUUCCAAGAAAUCCCCAAUCUGAAUGGACCAGAGGGAGGCAAGUUAGAAAUACAUUUCCUUCAUAGACAAUAACAACGAUGAGUGGAUGACAUCAAACCACGUUGGUAUCAAUAUUGAAAUAAAGGUGCAAUUAUUCAGCCAAUGAGCCUUAGUACACAUCAAGAUAUAUAAAAGUCAAGAAAAUGAAAAUUUAUCCCAAUUAAAACUCUUUCUGGCUGCAUUUAGCUGUUUCUGUUUAGGGAUGGCAAUUUAAUCCGGACCCAGCCCGACCCGGAUGAAUCCAGAAAAUUCGGGGUGGAUUCAACCCGUACCGGAGUGAAUAAAAUCUGAUAUUCAAAUUCAAUAUUUUCAACCCGGACGUUUCCGAGUCCGGAUCCGGAUUUGGGUAAACCCGCAUAUCCGGAACCCGGAUCCGGAUAACUAUUUUAAUAUUAAUUUUUAAAUCAUUUUAAAAUAAAAAAAAAUUAGAAAAAAUCAGCCCUAAUGCCCUUCCACAGCCACGGCAGCCAAACCAAACCCAGACAUUUCCUCUCUCUCUCUUUAGCCCUUCUUUUCAACAAAUCAUCAUCGUUGCUCAUCAUCGUUUCGUCGUGUUCAUCUUCAUCUUCAUCAUCAGCUGCCGUUUGUCCAGCUAUGUCACUAGUUUUGGCCGCCGUUUCCGUUUGUGCACCUUCGCAAAUCGGGAUCUCGAUUUGGCCGCCAACACUUCUACCCCCUGGUGUUUUGCUUUGUCCUCGACAACUUCUUUGUUGAUAAAUUGACGGGCACUUAUGAAUGCAUUUGUCUCUGUUUCUUCAUUUACACCUUCCCAGUUGUUUGUUCAUUUGCUUUUUGGAAGGAAAAAAAAAAAAAAUCAGCCACCAUUUAUCCUUCCCCUUUUCUUGACCUAACCCCACAAAGCCCAAUUUGUCAUCAUCAUUCAUUGGCAAAUUUGUUAUCAUCAUGGUUGAGACAUCAUGAUUAUCUUUGAUAAUUGAAUUUGUGUAAUAUGUUACCUUGGAUUUUAUUUCUAAGUAUUUGAUUUUGAAUUAUUUUCCAUUAUUGGUGUUAAUAGAUAGAAGAUUAGAAAGGAAUUCUUCACUGAAUAAAGAGAUGGGAAAUUGCAUCUUUUAGCAAUCAUCCGGGUUAUAAACCCGGAAUCCGGAAACCAGGAUUUUUCCGGGUUUAACCCAGUCCGGACCCGAAUGAAAAAUAUCCGGGUUUACAUCCGGGUCUGGUAUUAAAAUUUAUCGUCCGGAUCCGGAACAGGGAAGACAAAACCCGGACCCGAACCCACAUUUUGCCAUCCCUAUUUCCAUUUGAAGUUAACAACAACGUUUCUUUCGUUUUGUGGGCGACUUGACUGAGCCAGCUGGAUUCUAGUGCUAGUAUGUGAAAAUAGAAGGCUAAUGAUUUCACGUUCACUAGCCCACCUCCCCUCCUCUCGUUUCCUCUGAAUCAAUUUUCACGUGUGGUACCGAUUGAAAAUAUCUCUGACAUUUCGUGGACAUCUCUAUUGAAAAUAUCUCAGACAUUUCACUCAGGCAAACUUAUUAAUAUAAAAAAUCUAUGAUUUUUUCGUCUUAUACUGUAGAAAAAUUUGUCUAUACAUUAAUCUAGAUGUUUGAGGUGGUUUAUACAUCUGUGGUAUAGAUUUAUAGGUUGAUUGAUACGUCUGUGGUAUAGAUUUUAUGUAUUUCAUUAUCAAAUGCUGGCCUUUGGGACCCUAUCUACAUCUAUUUAUAAAACUAACGGGUGCCAGUUAUGCCAUUACAAAUUAUCCCCUCUUCAUACAUUUCCUUAAAAUUCUUCUGAAACACCAAAACUAAAUAAUCGAAUAUGGCUUUGCGGGUCGAUGAUGCCAGCAACAAUGAGGCUGCAAUUAUCACUUGUUUAGUUUCUAUGCUUGCCGUGGUUUAUUUCGUAUGGAAUGUGAACAAAUCAAGGAAAGCAAAUGCUAAACUGCCACCAGGACCUCGCGGUUUGCCUGUAGUCGGAUACCUCCCAUUUCUCGGAACUACUGACUUGCACAAGAAAUUCACGGAAUUAUCCGGAGUUUAUGGUCCGAUCUUCAAGCUCUGGCUCGGAAAUAAAUUAAGUGUCGUGGUGAGCUCACCUUCCCUAGUUAAACAAGUGGUUCGUGAUCAAGAUACAACAUUCGCAGACCGUGACCCGCCGAUCUCAGGACUAGUGACCUCCUUUGGUGGCAAUGAUAUUACAUGGUCCAAUUACGGUCCCGAAUGGAGAAAGUUGCGCAAAUUUUUUGUGGGCAAGAUGAUGAGUAACGCAAGCCUUGAUGCUUGUUAUGCUUUAAGAAAACAUGAGGUUAAAAAUACUAUCAGGGAUUUGUAUAACAACGGCAACAAAAUUGGUAAGCCCAUUGACAUUGGUGAAUUGUCGAUUUCAACAUUGGUAUGUGCUAUGCAGAACAUGCUGUGGGGUGAAGCGCUUGAAUUAAAAGAGAAAGGGACAACUAAUCUUGGGGUUGAGCUAAAAUUUAAGUUUGCAGAACUCAUGGUGCUACUGGGAACACCGAAUAUUUCGGAUAUCUUUCCAAUGCUUUCUUGGCUCGACAUACAAGGUAUAGAGAGGAGAGCAAAGAAGAUUUCACUCUGGUUUGAAAAAAUUAUAAAUUCUACUGUUGAAAAGUAUAGAAGCAAGGACUUUAAUGUUGAAGGUAAAGAAAGAGCAGGGGAAAAUUUUGAAGGAUCAAGGAACAAGAACUUCUUGCAGUUACUAUUGGAGCUUCAAGAAAAUGAAGACGGUUCUUCCUCAAUUAGCAUGAACCAAUUUAAGGCCGUACUCGUGGUAUGUUAAGAAACUAGCCGCAAACAGUUAUACAAGCACAGCUGUAUAUUUUGCAUGAGUGAUAUUUUCAACCUUUUUUUUUUAUAAUUAGAAUUUUAUUGUAACCUUUUGGACAGGAUAUAAUUACGGCUGGAACCGACACCACAACUACGAUGGUGGAAUGGACAAUGGCAGAGUUGAUGCAGCAUCCACAAAUAAUGAAGAAAGUUCAGGAAGAAUUAGCUCAAGUUGUGGGCAUGGACAGUUGUGUUGAAGAAUUUCAUUUGCCUAAAUUGAAAUAUUUAGAUGCUGUGGUGAAAGAAUCGUCUCGUCUGCAUCCUGCAGUGCCUUUAUUACUACCACGCAGAGCAAGCGAGAGUGGCAGCAUUGGUGGCUAUAACAUUCCCAAAGAUACAACUAUUAUGUUGAAUGUUUGGGCAAUCCACAGGGACCCUAAACUUUGGGAUAAUCCCUUAGAAUUUCGACCCGAGAGGUUUCUAGAUGAUGGUAUCGCGAGUAAGUUCGAUUACUCAGGUAACAAUUUUCAGUACUUGCCAUUUGGUUCUGGUAGAAGGAUGUGUGCUGGGAUUCCUCUAGCUGAGAGGAUGCUGAUGUUUGUUUUGGCUUCGUUAUUGCACUCAUUUGAGUGGGAAUUGCCAGCUGGCACAAAGCUAAACUUAUCUGAAAAAUUUGGGAUUGUCAUUAAGAAAAAAGAGCCUUUAGUUGCUAUUCCAACACCAAGACUAUCCAAUUCAGAGCUCUACCAUUAAGACAGAAUGGUUGUGAUGAUUUUGUUAAUUUCCGAAGAUUUGUAUGUUAUGUCAAGUUCAAUCGUAAUAAAAUAUUUCAAAUAAGAGUCCUCCGUUGCUUUUUUUUUUUUUUUCAACCGCAUAAUCUGUCGUCAUGCUUGUAUUUGGGGCUACUUUGGAAUAAUUAUGUUUGAAUUACAAUAUAUAAAUAUUACAUUUUAAAAUUUUAUGAGAUUCUAAAUUUAUACACGUUCAAUAACCCACUUCAUAUAUGUUUAACACAAUUUAUAUCAUACAUUGUAUACCCAUUUGUCAUAAAUUACGCUAUUUUAUAUCUCUAAAUAAUAUUACAUAUUGAUAUUAUAAAAUGUUGUUAACUCACGUGUGUAUAUAUAUAUAGCAAGUCACGUGCAUAUAUUAUUGGUUGUUAUAUGUUUGCUAGUUUGAUAGGAUUUCCUUUCCUUGUGAACUAGGGUAAUUCUUAUGUACAUAUAAAUAUUGAUCAAUAAGAGUGCAGAUGAUGACUGCAGUUUUGCAUCGUAGAAAUUCUUCGUAAAAUAUAUAUGUUUAUCAAAAGGCUAUACCAUUCAAUAUAUAUUGGAAAGAGAACAAAGAAGAUCUUCUUAUGGUUUGAAAAUAUUAUGAAUUCUGCUGUUGAACAGUAUGGAAACAAGGUCUGUUGUUAAAGGUGAAGAAGUCACAGGGAACAAUAUUGAAGGAAGAAAUUUCACGUUUAGUUGCUGAAUUUGCCGCUGUAUUCUAUCGGUAGUAAAAAGAUUAGAGUUUUUAUUUUUCUCUAUUAAUGUUAAGUCAAUUUUCUAUAACAAAUUCGGUUGAGUUUAAUUGUGUUACAAUAUAAAUUGAAUGAUAGUAGAAUUUUCAACGAAUAAUUCAAUAUUUCUAUCUCGAUUGUUGAAGUGCCAUUUAUUUGUUAUACGAUCGAUUUUAAAAUUUAUAAAAUUAUUUGUUACUAAAUUGCAUCAUAUGCUAAAUCACCUGAAACCUAAUUUCAUAACUAACCCUUUAUUUUUAGUUCUCAAGAAAUCUUGUAAGAACAAAAUUCUUUUGUAACAAAACGUUUACAACAAAUUAAUUUGUAACUCAUUCCUGUGCGAGAAUCACUCUCAAUUUCCUUCAAUUGCUGUUUAACAAUCAUCUGCUUAUCAAAAUUCAAGCAUAAUCUUUUUUUUUAAUUUCUUCAUCAUUCUUUUGAAAAAAAAAAUCAGGAUAUGCUGUUAAAUUUUGAAAUAAAUUAUCUCAAAAUAAUUACUAACCAGAAAAAACAAAGGGGUUUAACUAGGUUAUGCAUACCUUUGAAAAUUAUAUGUUGAUCGAUAAGAAUGAUGAUCACGAUUGACGAGUUUAAUUAAAAUAUAUAAGAUUUUAAAAUUAAUCAGGGUUAAAUUGUGAAUUUUAGAAAGAGAGGUUUUGUGAGAAUGUUGAAAGGGUGUUAAUAGUUCCACUCUUUUUAAAAACAACCAUAGUCAUCAUUUUUCCAUGGUUGUUUUUAAAAAGAGUAUUUCUUCUUCCCAUCUCCAUCUUAUUUAGAAAUUUCCCAGAGCCUUUGUUUCCCACCUUUCAUUUUUCUUCUUUCUAAUUUAAUAAUCCACCCUUCUUGUAUUCAAACUAAAAAAUUAAAAUCUGAAAAUUUAAAACCCAAUAUUAUAGUAUUAUAAAAAUAAUUACUCACAUUUUAUCAAACACCUCCAUUCUUCCAAGGCCUUGUUUUAGUAGUAGGCUUUUAUUAUCUCAAUAAAAUUGAAAAAAAAAAUCUCAAUAAUAUUGGAAAAAAACCCUACCCAUAUUUGUAACUUUAAUUUAUUAUUCUCCAUAGACCUACUUUUUAGUUUUGAAUUUUGUUGGAGCCAUAUAUAAACAGAAUAUGUUGAAAUCAGCACCCAAAAAAAAAAAAACUAAUUAUAUAAUUUAUGUUCCCAAGGACAUGGCUGAGUGAUUUUCAAGAAGUUUUGUUUGGCUGGCCACUUAGGUUUAAAUCUUGGUGGAGAUUAAGGGUUAAGAAAUAAAUUUAGACUUUGCACACCCCUUUAACUUUUAAAAAGAAAUGAAAAAAUUAAUUAAUUAAUCUUUAUUUUAUUUAUUAAAUGUCAUAAUCCUAUGCGUAUUUUAUUUGUUAUCUUUCUAUUUAAAAGACGAGGGCAGAUAAAACUGAAAUAAAUUUUUAGCCCUAUCUCCAUAUUUCAAGUUCCAUAGUUAGGUGACCAGCUAAAAAAAAUUAAUUGAAAGCUACUCCAUCAAAUUAAAAAAAUUUAUUUAUUUAAUUUGUGGAGAUGUAGAAAAUCAAACCCCAUACCUUUUCGCAUACACUGAACAUAUUUUAAUACAUGACUAUCAUCCUUUAUCCUAAAUACUACUAUAACUAAUAACAUACAAUUGAAAUAAUUAAUGUUAACACUUGGCUAUAAAUAAAGGUUUUGUGCUUGAAUCUUCACGCAUGACCUUCAUUCCUUUAUUGACUUUGCUAACACAGAUUUUGAGGCAUUAAAACUAAAUAAUAAUUGACUUUGUGGGCCGAGGAUGCCAGCAACAAGGAGACCACAAUUAUCACUUAAGUUACUCUAAUUGCCGUUGUCUUAUAUUCAUAGAAUAUUAGUAAUAAGAUUAUUGCAGAAUUUUUUUAAUAUUAAAAUUAAGUCAAUUUGUUAUAACAAAUUUAGUUGAGUUUAAUCGUGUUACUACAUAAAUUGAAUAAUAAUAGAAUUCUCGACAAAUAUUUCAAUAUUUUUAUCCCAAGCGUUGGAGUGGCAUUUAUUUGUUAUACGAUCGAUUUUAGAACUUAUAAAAUUAUUCGUUACUGAAUUGCACCAUAUGCUGCAUGACCUGAAACUUAAUAAACGGAAUGUAGCGUUGGCACCGUUACUCAACAUACUGUUACGACUUUGUGACAUUAGAAUUAAAAUCUUUUGCACAUUUAAUUUGUUUACUUCAAAAUUAAUAUUUAACAAAAUAUUUUUUUCACAUUAUCAAUGGACAAAACUCCAACGAAAAUAACUACACAAGAAAAAUGUAUGCUAGUAUUGUGUGCCAUAUCAUCUGUAAUUUUGUCAGGAUCGAACACUCUAAUUUUUAAGCAGAACUUUUUAUCAAUGGACAAACACCUCACACAGCUUGUCAGAGGCAUUAUUAUGAUAGAAAACUGUAAUGGUAUAUCUUGAAUUAUUGGUAGAAUAGUUCUUUGGAGCAAUAAAAAUAGAUAAGACAGAUGAGAAAAUUGUCAAUACCCCACCGCAAAAGCAAAAGAAAAAAAGGAAAGGAGACAAAAGAGGAAGAAGAAAAAAAGGAAAGGAGACAAAAGAGGAAGAAGAAAAAGAAAAAAGAACGAAGAAAAAAAUGGUGCCGCGCUGUAUUGGGAAGAAGAAAAAAAUUAAUAAAAUAAUAAUAAAUAAUAAAUAAUAAAUAAUAAAAUAAUAGUGCACAACAAUCAUUUGAUUGCUAUAAAUAAAGGGGCAUUUUCCUCAUUUUAUUCAUCGAAUUCUUCAGUUCCUUUCAAGCGAUUUAAGAGUCUAGUGAUUUGAGAGUUUGGGAGUAUUGUGAUUUUGAGUACUAAGUUAAAAUACUAUAAUACUUGUAACUCAUUUUCACUAGUAAAAUAUUUUUCUUCUGUCUUCGCCCGUAGACGUAGGCUAAAAGCUGAACCACGUAAUUUCUGGUGUCCCUAUGUGAUUAUGUGUCUCAUUAUUUCUCAAUUUUACUUUAGUUACGUGUCUGCUACACCCUUCAAUUUACUAACAAAAAUGGCCAAAAUUAUAUAAGUGACCCAAAUUUUUUUGCUAUUUCCAAGAAAUCCCCAAUCGGAAUAGACCAAACUAGAGGGAGGCAAGUUAGAAAUACGUUUCCUUCAUAAACAAUAACAGCGAUGAGUCGAUGACAUCGAGCCACGUCGGUAUCAAUAUUGAAUUAAAGGUGCAAUUAUUCAGCCAAUGAGCCUUACACAUCAAGAUAAAAGUCAAGAAAAUGAAAAAUUUAUCCUAAUUAAAACACUUUCUGGCUGCAUUUAGCUGUUUCUAUUUGAAGUUAAAAACAACAUUUCUUUCGUUUUGUGGGCAACUCGACUGAGUUCGCUGGCUUCUAGUGCUAGUAUGUGAAAAUAGAAGGCUAAUGAUUUAUUUGUUAUCUUUUGACAAAAAAUGUUAAAGAUAUAAUAGAUUUUCCAUGAUACAAAUGAAAAAUUAUAUCAACAUAACUUCCAAGCUACAGCAGCUAGUGUUUACCAAACACUUUGCUGUAGCUUUUAAGCUACAGCUGCCCAACCUCAAUAGGUUGAUUGAAUUUGUGGGAUAUAGAUUCCACAUAUCUCAUGACCUAUUAAUUAUACAAGUGGUUCUUGAUCAAGAACAACAUUUGCUUCCGACCCAGUAACCCAGCAACUGCUGCACUGGUCGCCACCUAUGGUGCCGACGAUAUUGCAUGGUCCAAUUAUGGCCUUGAAUGGAAAAAGUUGAGCAAAUUAUUUGUGGGCACGAUGAUAAGUAACGCAAGCCUUGAUGCUAGUUAUGGUCGAAGAAAACAAGAGGUUAAGAAUACUAUCAGAGAUAUGCAUAACAACAAAAAGGAAAAAAAAAAAAAAAGGCAUUGGCAAGUCAAUUGAUAUUGCUGAAUUGUCGAUUUCAACUUUGGCAUGUGUAAUUCAGACAUUGCGCGUUGUGGUAUGGCGCUGGCACGCUUGCAUUGCCGAGAGGACAAAUCUUGGGGCUGGGCUAAAAUUUAGGCUUGUAGAACUCAUGGUGCUAAUGGGAACGCCAAAUUUUUUUAACAUAUUUCGGUGCUUUCAUGGUUUAAUUCAAGGUAUAGAAAGGAGUGUUGAGAAUGUCAAAUAAAACGACAUUGAAUGGAAGUUGUCAAAGACAUGAUCCGCACUGAACGGCAAUGACACGGUUGGUAAAGAUUUUUUCAUAAUAUGCGUAUCUAAUUUUUGAAAAAUUGUAACCUCUGCUUCUAUAAAUAUGCUCAAUGUAUAAUGUUUUACUUAAGAAAUGAAAAACUUAAUUCUUUAUGGUAUCAGAGCGAGGCUCGUUGCUCUGUUUGUAACAAAAACAAAGAAAACUAAAUUCUUCCCACAACUAUUUUUCCACCUUUUUUUCUUCCUUAAAAGCAUUCCUAGCAUUACAGAAACCCAUGCCAAUAAAAGAACAAGCCACACAUAUGUAAAAACUUUAGUUUACAAAUCUAUCAACAUCCCCAUAAAUUUUCCCAAAAAGUGAUCUUCAAAAACCAAAAAUACCAUCAAUUUUCGCAUCUUCUAGUAAACAAACUAUAAAAGUUUCGCACUCAAACAGAGCCACACGCGCCUCCACGCGCUUCCCGGAAUCACGGCCAACCACCACGCGCCUCUGUCACCACCAACUCACCCUCAUGCGCUCCAGAUGUUGCAGAAGACGCAAAACGACGUGUCGUUUUCUUCUCUAAAAGUGCAGCAACGUGGAAAUGACUUUUUGUUUUUGCCUUAAAUUGUUUUUCCUCGUUUGAAGCUAUACAACAUUUUUCUUUCUAAACCUGUUUUUUACAAUAAAAAAAGAAAAAAAUGGAGAAAACUCCAACUGAAUCUACUCAUGUUGUCAUUCAAUCUGUUCAACCUGAUGGAGUAUUUAAUGCCGAAAUUAUCCUUACUAAGACAAACUACGAUAUUUGAUCUCAAAUAAUGGAGAUGCAUCUCGCAGAAAGAAAAAAACUCCCAUAUAUUCGUAGCAGCAUAAAUCCAUCUGACAAAUUUUCAAAGAAAUAUGAGAAAUGGUAUAGUGAGAACCAAAAAGUAAAAAGAUGGUUACUCAUAACCAUGUGUCCUGAGAUCAUGAAGCGAUAGUUACAAAUUCCUACAGCCUACGAAAUUUAGAAUGCAUUAUCAAAAGCCUUUUAUAAUGGAAGCGAUGAAAUACAAGUUUUCACUCUAAAUCAGAAGGCGUUCUCUACGAAGCAAAAUGGACAACCACUCUCUAAAUUCUACGGAGAAUUGAUCAAAAUGUUUCAAGAACUUAAUCACCGAGAUAAAGUGGUCAUGAAGGAUCCAGAAGAUGUUAUAAUAUAUAGGAAGUUUGUUGGAAGAUUGAGAGUGCACAUUUUUCUUGCUGGACUAGAUGAAGAAUUUGACCAAGUUUGUGGAGAAAUUCUACGAAAAGAUACUAUCCUAGACUUAAAAGAAUGUUAUUCUCUAAUCCGAAAAGAAGAUGUACGGCAAAGCAAACUAACAAGAAGGUGGACGACUCAGAAACGUCUGCUAUGAUACCACAAGAGAACAAUGUUUUGAAAUUGUUCGAUAUCCUGACUGGUGGGAUACUCGAAGUAAUAACACAAAGCAGAGAUAAAAAACUGCAGUAGCUGAAUCCACAUCCACUACAGAUCUUAGAAAAGAAUCUUCAGCGCAAAUUGCAACCUCUGUCAAUUCAGGUAAGGUCAUUAAAACUCUUACAUUUGUUAUUAAUAGUAUAUGGAUAAUUGAUUAUGGUGCAACUGAUCAUAUGACUUUUGAUUCUUGACAAGUUUCUUAAUUGAAACCAUCUUCACAUAAACAUGUUUCUACUGUAAAUAGAACCACAACCUCAGUUAUUGGGGAAGGAUCUUUACAACUCACAAUUAAAUCAAAUUUAGACUUUGUGUUAAUUGUUCCAUCUUUAAAUUAUAAUCUUUUAUAUGUGUCUCAAAUAACCUCUUACUUAUCAUGUGUUGUAAUGUUUUGGCCCGAUCAUUGCAUGUUUAAGGACAUCCAAAUGAAGGAAACGAUUGGUUAUGAUAUUAAAUAAGGCAACUUGUAUUACCUGGAGAUGACAUCAACAAACACUGAAAAGCUAAGCCCCGCAUUAGUAGCAGACAAUUCCAUGAAAAAAAAGGAAAUAAGAAAUUUGGUUAUGGCAUAGACGAUUAGGGCAUGUGUCAUUUGAUUUCUUAAAAAAAUUGUUUCCUAGUUUGUUUCUGAAAUUUGAUAUUUGUAACUUUAAAUAUGAUGUUUGUGAACUUUCAAAUAGCCAUCGAACUACUUUUCCAUUGUCCUUAAAUAAGAAUCCAAUUCCUUUAAUGGUAGUACAUUCUGAUGUAUAGAGACCAUCUAAAGUUUCUACCAUUGGAAGAGCUCGUUGGUUUGUUACAUUUAUUGAUGAUUGUAGCAGAAUGACAUGGAUUUUUUUAUGAAAUUAAAAUCAUAUGAUGGUGACAACUCUAUUUCAGACACAAAUUUGAGUUCUACAUACUGAUAAUGGAGGCGAGUAUAUGAGCACAACAAUUCAACAGUUUUUGAAAUCACAAUGAACUCACCACCAAACCACUUGUGUGGGGACACUCCAACAAAAUGGCGUUGCUAAACAAAAAAAUAGACAUUUACUAGAAGUUGUUCAAGCAUCACUAAUUUAGGCCCGCAUGCCACUAUUUUAUUGGGGAGAAGCAUUGGCAUCCGUAGCAUACUUGAUCAAUCGGACACCUUCAAUCUUCCUUGGAUUCCAAACUUAUUUUCUAGUUCUAAAUGAAGAAUUAUGUCAUCAAAUGUGUCGAAUUUACCCCCACAUAUGUUUGGUUGUGUUGCCUUCGUUCAUUUGCCAUGACAAGAUAAAUUAUCUCCUCGAGCACUACGUUGUGUGUUUGUAGGGUAUGCCUUACAUCAAAAGGGGUACCGAUGCUAUCAUCCUCUAUUAAGAAAAAAUAUACAUCACCAUGGACAUAAUCUUUCAUGAAGAUAUCAUGUAGUACCCAUCGGAGCUUGAAUUUCAGAGGGAGUAUAAUGAAGAGGAAAUUCAUACUCUUACAUAUCUUUCACCUGAAGAAGAUCAAUCCUCCAUUGAGGUAGUAAACGUUCAAGAUACUGGAAAAGAAAACGACAAUGAUUCUCAGGCUGAGACAAGUGAAGACACAUUUAGGGAGCAAAAUAACUCAGACAUAACCACAAUCGAGAACGAGUCCAUGAAGAGCCACAUGAAGAAAUAUCUAACCAAUCAUCUGCAGAGGAUGAUCCUACCACAAAUCCCAGUCUAAUCAGAAGAAUACUUCCCCAGCAUCAAAAUAGAGGUAUCUCUAAACCCACAUAUAAGACUGACCUCUCUAGUAGAGUCAAAUACCCUAUGAGUCAUUUUGUAUCUAACCAUGGCUUAUCAAAAUCAAAUCAGUCAUUUGUGAAUCAAUUAUCUACUGUGUCUAUUCCUAACAGUGUGCAAUAAGCCUUAAAAUAUCGAAAGUGGAAAGGGCUAUGAAUGACGAAAUGAGAUCUCUUUAAAAAAAAUCAAACAUGGGAACUAAUUGAUCUUCCACCAGGAAAGAAACCAGUGGGUUGCCGAUGGAACUAGUUGAUCAUCCACCUCCAUUCUGACAAGCAAUGUUUAUCAGCAAUAACAAAUGACUGAAGCAUUUUAAUGAGGUUAGUAACGAAAAAGAGUUUAAUUAGAGAAUAUUAUAAGAGAAAUUCUAAUUUUUGAUUUUUAAUAAAUUAAAAUAUCUUAAAAUAUUAUUAGUUGGUGGUGGUUUCAUGUCAGAUUAAGACGUGACACCUUACUAAUGAGGUCGAGACAAUUAGCUUAAAUUAUUUCAAUGCAUUUGAAAUUUCCACUAAUGACUAUAAUUCUUUGUCCUAAUUACUAUGAUAAUUAAUAACAUACAAUUGAAAUAGUUAAUAUUAGCACUUGGCAAUAAAUAAUUAAAUUUCAUUAACACUAAAUAAUAAUUGAAUAUGGCUUUGUACAUCGAUGACGCCAGCAACAAGGGGACCGCGAUUAUCACUCUUUAAGUUGCUUUUAAAAUUGAUUUUAGUAGUGAUAUGAUUAUUGUAGUGUUUUUAUUUUUUAUAUUAAAAUUAAGUGAUUUGUUAUAAUAAACUUAGUUGAGUUUAAUGGUAUUACUACAUAAAUUGAAUAGUUAUCAAAUAUUUUAAUAUUUUUAUGGCAAGCGUUGACGUGGCAUUUAUUUGUUGUAUGAUGGAUUUUAAAAUUUAUAAAAUUAUUUGUUAUUAAAUUACCCCCAGAUGCUACAUCACCUGAAACUUAAUAAAGGUAUGAAGACAUGUGUGUGUGGACUGAAAUGAAGAAUAUGGAAAAGUUGAGAGCUGUUGUGCAGAUUGAGUUCAGUUGAUGGGGUCUAUUAGAUAUUGUCUGCUGACGUGGCAUGAAUUCGUUAUAAUCUGUUAUAACGAGUUCAGUAUAUCAGUAUACAAUAGAGCUGAUGGAUGGUGCCUGUUUUAGAGUCUUUUUUAUAUUCAUUUGUUCAUCAUUUUGCGCAAGAUCUGUUCCAUUGUGAUAUGUGUAAAGUCUUAUGUAAACCCACUUAUGAUUGGAUUAGUUCUUGAUUAAUAACAACGAGUAAAUUUUCCUUCAAGUGUGCUGGUCUGUGCCCCUGUUUUUUGUUCUGAUAUUGUUUCUUUGUUCUGGCAUUUCAUUUCGAUUGUGUUCUUGGUGUUUCUACUCAUCAAGAUUUAUGAGUCUUGUUGAGAUUAAAGACUUAAUAGUCUUAACAAGUGGUAUCAGAGCCUGGUGAAUCUCAGCCAUGUCUCUUUCGAAGCAUGAAAUUGAAAAAUUCACCAUUGGUGGUGAUUUCUCGCUUUCGAAAUUAAAAAUGAGGGCUCUCCUUGUGCAUUAGAGGCUUGAAUUUGCUCUGGAAAAAGAUAAUCUAGAGGCUGCUACAAGUUAUGUGACUGAUGAUAAGAAGAGACAAAUCCAAAACCGAGCUCGUAGCACUCUAGUUUUGAGUCUUGGUGACUCAAUCUUGAGAAAGAUUUCUGAAGAGAAGACAACCUUAGGGAUUUGGAACAAGGUAGAAGCUUUGUGUACAAAGAAGUCGCUAGCUCACAGACUAUUCUUGAAGAAAAAGUUAUACACAUUCUCGAUGAGAGAAGGAGUCACAAUUCAAGAUCACAUUGAUACCUUCAACAAGAUCAUUCUUGAUCUUGAAGGGGUGGAAAAUGUGACAAUAAGUGAUGAAGAUAAAGCCUUCUUCUUGUUGAGUUCCUUACCAAAGUCUUAUGAAGGCUUUGUAGAUACAAUGCUUUAUGGCAGAACAACAUUGACUCUUGAAGAUGUUAAAGCAUCUCUAAGUUCAAAAGAGAUUCAGAAGAACAAUGAGAUUGAAACAAAUAAUGGUGAUGGGCUGAUUGCCAGAUCAGAAAAGAAGAAAGAUCAGAAGAAUAAAAAUCAGGGAAAAUGACAUGGAAAGAAUUAAGAAAAUGCAGACAAGAAGAAAAAGAAGAGAAAAUGCUUCUACUGCCGGAAGGAAGGGCAUUACAUCAGGGAUUGUCUUAAAAAGAAAAAAAAAGAAAGUCAAGAGAAGUCAGGGGAUGCAGCUGUAGCCUCUGAUGAUGCCUCUGAUGGAUAUCACAUUGCUGAUUUACUUGUGGCCUCAAAUAGCAAUACUAAAGGUCAGUGGGUCAUAGACUCUGAGUGCUCUUUUCACUUGUGGCCUGAUAAAACCAUAUUUUACAAAUAUGAAGUUGUUGAUGGUGGUAGAGUCUUAAUGGGAAAUAAUAAUGUGUGUAAUCUUGUUGGUAUUGGUUCUGUGAAGAUCAAGAUGUUUGAUGGAACUGUAAGAGCUCUACAUGAGGUGAGGCAUGCUCCUAGGCUAAAGAGAAAUCUAAUCUCUUUAGGCAUGCUAGACAGCUUAGGGUAUUUCUUUAAAUCAGAAAGUGGUGGUUUAGAGAUAAGAAAGGGGACUGAGAUAGUGAUGAAGGGGGUUAAAGAAAAUGGCUUAUAUGUAUUGUAAGGCUCAUCAGUGCUUCUUCAAAAGGGAAUUUCUGCUCUUUUUGAGGAAGAUAUAACCAAGUUAUGACAUCUUAGACUUGGUCAUAUGAGUGUCAAAGGGAUGUAAGAGCUCAGCAAACAAGGGCUACUUGGUGGGGAUAGAAUCCAGCAACUGGAAUUAUGUGAAAAUUGCAUUUUUGGCAAAGCUCACAGGUCCAAGUUUCACAAGGGGGAGCAUAUGUCUAAGCAAGUUUUGGACUAUGCACAUGCUGACCUUUGGGGGCCUGCUCAAGUCCCAUCCUUGAGUGGUGGCAGGUAUUUCAUAUCACUAAUUGAUGAUUACUCAAGGAAGAUGUGGGUCUACAUACUCAAGACCAAAGAUCAAGCCUAGGAAAAAAUUCAAGGUAUAGAAAUCUUUGGUAGAAAAUCAAUUUGGAUUCAAGCUCAAAUGCUUGAGAACUGAUAAUGGUUUGGAAUUUUGUAGCAAAGAAUUUGAGGAAUAUUACAAAAAAACAUGGCAUAAAAAGGCACAAAACAGUCAGGUUCACCCCCCAGCAGAAUGGCUUGGCUGAAAGGAUGAACAUGACCUUGGUAGAUAAGACCAGAUGUAUGUUGAUAAAUUCAAAGCUUCCAAGAAGCUUUUGGGCAGAAGCUGUCAAUACAACAAGUUGUUUGGUUAACAGAAGCCCAUAUUCUGCAAUUGGCUUCAAAACACCAGAAGAAUUGUGGAAGGAAAAACCUGUAAAUUACCAAAAUCUCAGUGUUUUUGGAUGCCCUGCUUAUCUCCACAUCAAUCAAGGCAAGCUGGAAGCUAGGGCCUUGAAAGGAGUCUUUGUUGGAUAUCCUGAUGGGGUUAAGGGAUACAUAAUCUGGUGUAGAGAGUAAGGGAAGUGUAUAGUCAGCAGGGAUGUUGUGUUUCAUGAAUUUGGAUUGCUAAAAGAAAAUGCAGAGAAUGAUACUAGACUACAAAAUGAUUCAAUAAUUAUCAAACAAUCUGGAACUUCCAAGGUUAAGGUGGAGCUGUUUGGAAAUAAAGACAGUAGAAAAGAGGUAGCUGAUUAUGAAGAGAGGACCACAGCUAAAGUUGAGGAACAUGAGUCAUCAGAGUUGCCACAAGCUGACUUGCAGACUUAUCAGUUAGCAAGAGAUAGAGUUAGAAGAGAAGUCAAAGCACUAGUGAGGUAUGGCUAUGCUGACUUAAUUACUUAUGCAUUGUUGUGUGCUGAUGAUGUGGCAAUUGAAGAGCCUGCUAACUUCUCUGAAGUUAUUGAAAGUGUGCAUUGUGAUAAGUGGCUUGAGGCAAUGCAAGAUGAAAUGGGAUCCCUUCAAAGAAAUCAGACCUGGACACUUGUUCCAAAUCUAGGUAAUAAAAAGUUGAUCAGUUGUAAGUGGAUCUUCAAGAAGAAUGAAGGAAUUCCAGAUGUUGAACCUCCCAAAUAUAAAGCAAGGCUAGUGGCUAGGGGGUUUACACAGAGAAAGAGUGUAGAUUUCAAUGAAAAAUUUUCCCCUGUUCUUAAGCACAUUUCAAUAAGAAUUUUAUUAGUCAUGGUAGCCUUACUUGACUUGGAGCUUGAGCAAAUGGAUGUAAAAACAGCAUUCCUUCAUGGUAAUCUUGAAGAACAGAUAUUGAUGGCACAACCUAAAUGUUUUGAGUGCAAAGGAAAUGAGGAUUAUGUUUGUUUGCUGCAUAAGUCCUUGUAUGGACUCAAGCAAUCCCCACGACAGUGGUACAUAAGAUUUGAUGAUUUUAUGGUCUCAAAAGGCUAUCACAUAAGCAAAUAUGACAGUUGUGUUUACUUUGGUGGAUCAUAUCAAGGUGGAGUUGCUUAUUUGCUUCUGUAUGUUGAAGAUAUGUUAAUUGCAAGAAAAUAUAAGUUGGAGAUAGAGAGGUUGAAGAAAUGAAGGAUCUCGGCAAUGCCAAAAGAAUCCUUGGGAUGAACAUUACAAGGGGCAGAUCUGCUGACACUUUGUUCUUGAGUCAUGAGAAAUAUAUCAAGAAGGUUCUGGAGAGGUUUGAGAUGCAAGACUAUAAACCUGUCCAAACACCACUUGGUCCCCAAUUCAAGUUGACAGCAGCUCAAUCAUCAGAAGAUGAGUCUCAGGUGAGUGAAUUCCCAUAUGCACAGGUUGUAGGGAGCCUGAUGUAUGUAAUGGUAUGCACCAGGUCAGAUAUAGCUUAUGCAGUAAGUGUUGUCAGCAAAUUUCUCAGUUGUCUAGGCAAGGUUCACUGGAAUGUUGUAAAAUGGAUAAUGAGAUAUCUUAAGGGCUCUUUUACUUGUGGUUUGCUGUAUGGGAAGACUAAGAGUGACAUAAGUGAAGUCCUGGGGUUUGUAGACUCUGACUUUGCUGGAGAUCUUGAUAGAAUGAAGUCAACCUCAGGGUAUAUGUUUGUGUUAAACAGUUGCCUGAUUAGCUGGAAGUCAUCACUUCAGUCUGUGGUUGCUUUAUCCUCAACUGAAGCUGAGUUUGUUGCAACUACAGAGGCAGUAAAAGAGGCCAUGUGGCUAAGAGGUUUGCUUAAUGAGUUAUGGUUAAAUCAGAAAAUUGUUCAGGUUUUCUGUGAUAACCAAAGUGUCAUACACCUGGUAAAGAAUCAGAUGUAUCAUGAAAGAACCAAGCACAUUGAUGUGAAGCUCCAGUUUAUCAGAGAUGAGGUUGGAAAAGGAACUAUAAUUGUGUCCAAGAUCUAUACCAGUGUGAAUCCAACUGAUGUUAUUACAAAAGCACUUCCCACUGCAAAAUUUGAAUUCUAUGUGAAUCUAAUGGGCAUCUCGCCCAAACCUAACUAAAUUCAAUAGUGAAUUGUAGUUGAAUGAAGGUUUUUUAGGUGCUGUGUUAUUGAAAGGAUCAACUGAAUCAACUGCAAGGUGGAGAAUGUGAAGAUGUGUGUGUGGACUGAAAUGAAGAAUAUGAAAAAGUUGAGAGCUGUUGUGCAGAUUGACUUCAGUUGAUGGGGUCUAUUAGAUAUUGUCUGCUGACGUGGUAUGAAUUCGUUAUAAUCUGUUAUAACGAGUUCAAUAUAUCAGUAUAUAAUGGAGCUGAUGGAUGGUGCCUGUUUUAGAGUCUUUUUCGUAUUCAUUUGUUCAUCAUUUUGCACAAGAUUUGUUCCAUUGUGAUCUGUGUAAAGUCUUCUGUAAAUCCACUCAUGAUUGGAUUAGUUCUUGAUCAAUAACGAGUAAAUUUUCCUUCAAGUGUGCUGGUCUGUGCCCCUGUUUUUGGUUCUAAUAUUGUUUCUUUGUUUUGGCAUUUCAUUUCGAUUGUGUGCUUGGUGUUUCUACUCAUCAAGAUUUGUGAGUCUUGUUGAGAUUAAAGGCUUAAUAGUCUUAACAAAAGGGAAUGUAGCAUUGCCAUUAAUCAACAUUCACUCUUAUGACUUUAUGACAUUAGAAUUAAAAUCUUUCGUACAUUUAAUUUAUUUGCUUCCAAAUUAAUCUUUAAUAAAUAUUUUUUCACAUUAUCAUCAAUGGACAAAACUCCAACGAAAAUAACUACACGAGAACAAUUUAUGCUAGUAUUAAAUGCCACGAUAUCUAUAACUUUGUCUGGAUCGAUCAUUCUAAUUUUUUCGCAGAACUUUUUGUCAAUGGACAAACACCUCACAGAGCUUGUCAGCCGCAUUAUUACGAUGUAAAAUUGUACCGGAAUAUCUUGAAUUAUUAGUAGAAUAAUGAAGACUAUUUGGGGCAAUAAAAACAAAUAACGCAGAUAAAAAAAUGGCUAAAAUUAUGUAAGUGAGCCCCAAAGUUUUUGCUAUUUCCAGGAAAUCCCAAAUUUGAAUGGACUAGAGGGAGGCACGUAAGAAAUACAUUUUCUUCCUAGACAAUGACAGCUAUGACAUCAAGCCACGGUGGCGUCAGUAUUGAAAUUAAGGUGUAAUUAUUCAGCCAAUGAGCCUUACACAUCAAGAUAAAAGUCAAGAUAAUGAAAAUUUGGCUGUUUCCAUUUGAAGUUAAAAGCAACGUUUCUUUCGUUUUGUGGGCGACUCGACUGAGCACGCCCCAAUAGCUAUAUUUAGGGCGUCAAUUUGAUAUUUGAAUGGACAGGCAAGUAAGAAAUACAUUUCCUUCAUAGACAAUGACAACGAGGACAUCAAGCCACAUCAUUAUAGUUUGUAGCCCAUCUACAUUUAAACGAUUAAUAAACAAGCUUAGGUGUGCCACUGCUAUUAUUAAUUAUCCCCUGAUCAUUAUAGUUUCUGAAACAGUAAAACUAAACGAAAUUGAAUACAUCAACGAGACCGCAAUUAUCACUUGUUUAGUUGCGGUAUUUAACUUAAUUUUAAUAUAAUAUAUUUGUUAGUUAAACUUUUAAUAAUCAAAUAAUUUUGAUUUAAAAAUAAAAUUAUAGAAAUUAUUAAUUAUUAAUUAUUAAAAAUUCACAAUUAAGGGAACGUUCAUCAAACACACAUAGCUAUUGUUUUCUCUAUAUAUUGCAGUGUGUACGAUAUUGAGGGUUGAAGCCCCAAGCAUGCUCUAAAAUCCAGAUAAUAAUUAGAUCCGGGCCAAAUAUUCAUCAUUGUGUCAGCUGAUCAGUCGGUGGACAUCUCUAUUGAAAAUAUCUCUGACAUUUCACUCGACAAACUUAUUAAUAUAAAAAAUCUGUGGUUUUGCCGUCUGAAUAAUGUAGAAAAAUUUGUCUAUGCAUUAAUCUAGAUGUUUGAGGUGAUUUAUACAUCUGUGGUAAAGAUUUAUAGGUUGACUUAGACGUCUGUGGUAUAGAUUUUAUGUAUUUCAUUACAAAAUGCUGGCCGUUAGAACCCUUUCUACAUCUAUUUAUAAGAUUAACGGGUGCCAGCUAUGCCAUUACAAAUUAUCCCCUCAUCAGAUAUUUCGUUAAAAUUCAUUCUGAAACACUAAAACUAAAUAAUCGAAUAUGGCUUUGCGGGUCGAUGAUGCCAGCAGCAAUGAGACUGCAAUUAUCACUUGUUUAGUUUCUGUGCUGGCCGUGGUUUACUUCGCAUGGAAUGUGAAAAAAUCAAGGAAAGCAAAUGCUACACUGCCACCAGGACCUCGCGGCUUGCCUGUAUUCGGAUACCUCCCAUUUCUUGGAACUACUGACUUGCACAAGAAAUUCACGGAAUUAUCCGGAGUUUAUGGUCCGAUCUUCAAGCUUUGGCUUGGAAAUAAAUUAUGUGUAGUGGUGAGCUCACCUUCCCUAAUUAGACAAGUGGUUCGUGAUCAAGAUACAACAUUCGCGAACCGUGACCCACCGAAGGCUGCACUAGUGGUCUCCUAUGGUGGCAAUGAUAUUGCAUGGUCCAAUUACGGUCCCGAAUGGAGAAAGUUGCGCAAAUUUUUUGUGGGCAAGAUGAUGAAUAACGCAAGCCUUGAUGCUUGUUAUGCUCUAAGAAGACAAGAGGUUAAAAAUACUAUCAGGGAUUUGUAUAACAACGACAACAAAAUUGGCAAGCCCAUUGACAUUGGUGAAUUGUCGUUUUCAACAUUGGUAUGUGCUAUACAGAACAUGCUGUGGGGUGAAGCGCUUGAAUUAAAAGAGAAAGGGACCACUAAUCUUAGGGCUGGGCUAAAAUUUAAGCUGGCAGAACUCAUGGUGCUUGCGGGAACACCGAAUAUUUCGGAUGUCUUUCCAAUGCUUUCAUGGCUUGACAUACAAGGUAUAGAGAGGAGAGCAAAGAAGAUUUCACUCUGGCUUGAUAAUGUUAUAAAUUCUACUGUUGAACAGCAUAGAAACAAGGAGUUAACUGUUGAAGGUGAAGAAAGAGCGGGGAAAAAUUUUGAAGGAUCAAGGAACAAGAACUUCUUGCAGUUACUAUUGGAGCUUCAAGAAAAUGAUGACAGUGCUUCCUCAAUUAGCAUGAACCAAUUCAAGGCCGUACUCGCGGUAUGUUAAGCAACUAGCCACGAACAGUUAUACAAGCACAAUUGUAUAUUUGCAUGAGUGAUAUUUUCAACCUUUUUUUUUAAUUAGAAUUUUAUUGUCACCUUUUGGACAGGAUAUAAUUACGGCUGGAACCGACACCACAACUACGAUGGUGGAAUGGACAAUGGCAGAGUUGAUGCAGCAUCCACAAGUAAUGAAGAAAGUUCAGGAAGAAUUAGCUCAAGUUGUGGGCAUGGACAGUUGUGUUGAAGAAUUUCACCUGUCUAGAUUAAUGUAUUUAGAUGCUGUGGUGAAGGAAACAUUUCGUCUGCAUCCUGCAGUGCCUUUAUUACUACCACGUAGGGCAAGCGAGAGUGGCAACAUUGGUGGCUAUACCAUUCCCAAAGAUACAACUCUUAUGUUGAAUGUUUGGGCUAUCCACAGGGACCCUCACCUUUGGGAUAAUCCCUUAGAAUUUCGACCCGAGAGGUUUCUGAAUGUUGGUAUCGAGAGUAAGUUCGAUUACUCAGGUAACAAUUUUCAGUACUUGCCAUUUGGUUCUGGUAGAAGGAUGUGUGCUGGGAUUCCUCUAGCUGAGAGGAUGCUGAUGUUUGUUUUGGCUUCGUUAUUGCACUCAUUCGAGUGGGAAUUGCCAACUGGCACAAAGCUAAACUUAUCAGAAAAAUUUGGGAUUGUCAUUAAGAAAAAAGAGCCUUUGGUUGCUAUUCCAACACCAAGACUAUCCAAUUCAGAGCUCUACCAUUAAGACCAAAUGGUUGUGAUGAUUUUGUUAAUUUCCGAAGAUUUGUAUGUUAUUUCAAGUUCAAUCGUAGUAAAAUAUUUCAAAUAAGAGUCCUCCGUUGCUUUUUUUUUUUUUUUUCAACGGCAUAAUCUGUGGUCAUGCUUGUAUUUGGAGCCACUUUAGAAAAAUUAUGUUUGAAUUACAAUUUAUAAAUAUUACAUUUUAAAAUAUUAUGAGGCUAAAUUUAUACACGUUCAAUAACCCGCUUCAUAUAUAUUUAACACAAUUUAUAUCAUACAUUGUACACCCAUUUAUCAUAAAUUACACUAUUUUGUAUCUCUAAAUAAUAUUACGUAUUGAUAUUAUAAAAUAUAUAUGGAAAAGAGAACAAAGAAGAUUUCUUAUGGUUUGAAAAUAUUAUGAAUUCUGCUGUUGAACAGUAUGGAAACAAGGUCUCUGUUGUUAAAGGUGAAGAAGCAACAGGGAACAAUAUUGAAGGAAGAAAUUUCACAUGUUUAGUUGCUGAAUUUGCCGCUGUAUUCUAUCGGUAGUAAAAAAAUUAGAGUUUUUAUUUUUCUCUAUUAAUGUUAAGUCAAUUUUCUAUAACAAAUUCGGUUGAGUUUAAUUGUGUUACAAUAUAAAUUGAAUGAUAAUAGAAUUUUCAACGAAUAUUUCAAUAUUUCUAUCUCGAUUGUUGAAGUGCCAUUUAUUUGUUAUGCGAUCGAUUUUAAAAUUUAUAAAAAUUAUUUGUUACUAAAUUGCAUCAUAUGCUAAAAUCACCUGAAACCUAAUUCCAUAACUAACCCUUUAUUUUUAGUUCUCAAGAAAUCUUGUAAGAACAAAAUUCUUUUAUAACAAAACUUUUACAACACAUUAAUUUGUAACUCAUUCCUGUGCGAGAAUCACUCUCAAAUUCCUUCAAUUGCUGUUGAACAAUCAUCUGCUUAUCAAAAUUCAAGCAUAAUCUUUUCUUUUUUUUAAUUUCUUCAUCAUUCUUUUGAAAAAAAAAAAUCAGGAUAUGCUGUUAAAAUUUUGAAAUAAAUUAUCUCAAAAUAAUUACUAACCAGAAAAAACAAAGGGGUUUAACUAGGUUAUGCAUACCUUUGAAAAUUAUAUGUUGAUCGAUAAGAAUGAUGAUCACGAUUGAGGAGUUUAAUUAAAAUAUAUAAGAUUUUAAAAUUAAUCAGGGUUAAAUUGUGAAUUUUAGAAAGAGAGGUUUUGUGAGAAUGCUGAAAGGGUGUUAAUAGUUCCACUCUUUUUAAAAGCAACCAUAGUCAUCAUUUUUCCCGAUUUCUUCUUCCCAUCUCCAUCUUAUUUAGAAAUUUCCCAGAGCCUUUGUUUCCCACCUUUCAUUGUUCUUCUUUCUAAUUUAAUACUAUAGGAUUACAAAAAUAAUUACUCACAUUUUAUCAAACACCUCCAUUCUACCAAGGCCUUGUUUUAGUAGUAGGCUUUUAUUAUCUCAAUAAAAUUGAAAAAACAAAUCUCAAUAAUAUUGGAAAAAAAAAACCUACCCAUAUUUGUAACUUUAAUUUAUUAUUCUCCAUAGACCUACUUUUUAGCUUUGAAUUUUGUUGGAGCCAUAUAUAAACAGAAUAUGUUGAAUCAGCACCAAAAAAAAAAAAAAAAAACUAAUUAUAUAAUUUCUGUUCCCAAGGACAUGACUGAUUGAUUUUCAAGAAGUUUUGUUUGGCUGGCUACUUAGGUUUAAAUCUUGGUGGAGAUUAGGGGUUAAGAAAUAAAUUUGGACUUUGCACACCCCUUUAACUUUUAAAAAGAAAUGAAAAAAACUAAUUAAUUAAUCUUUAUUUUAUUUAUUAAAUAUCAUAAUCCUAUGCGUAUUUUAUUUGUUAUCUUUCUAUUUAAAAGACAGGAGGGCAGAUAAAACUGAAAUAAAUUUUUAGCCCUAUCUCCAUCUUUCAAGUUCCAUAGUUAGGUGACCAGGUAAAGAAAAUUAAUUGAAAGCUACUCCAUCAAAUUAAAAAAUUUUAUUUAUUUAAUUUGUGGAGAUGUAGAAAAUCAAACCCCAUGCCUUUUCGCGUGGAAAAGUGUCAACCUGGUCUAGCUAUGUUGCAAAAGUGAACAUAUUUUAAUACAUGACUAUCAUCCUUUAUCCUAAAUACUACUAUAACUAAUAACAUACAAUUGAAAUAAUUAAUGUUAACACUUGGCUAUAAAUAAAGGUUUUGUGCUUGAAUCUUCACGCAUGACCUUCAUUCCUUUAUUUACUUUGCUAACACAGAUUUUGAGGCAUUAAAACUAAAUAAUAAUUGACUUUGUGGGCCGAGGAUGCCAGCAACAAGGAGACCACAAUUAUCACUUGUUAAGUUACUCUAAUUGCCGUUGUCUUAUAUUCAUAGAAUAUUAGUAAUAAGAUUAUUGUAGAAUUUUUUUAUAUUAAAAUUAAGUCAAUUUGUUAUAACAAAUUUAGUUGAGUUUAAUCGUGUUACCACAUAAAUUGAAUAAUAAUAAAAUUCUCGACAAAUAUUUCAAUAUUUUUAUCCCAAGCGUUGGAGUGGCAUUUAUUUGUUAUACGAUCAAUUUUAGAAUUUAUAAAAUUAUUCGUUACUGAAUUGCACCAUAUGCUGCAUGACCUGAAACUUAAUAAACGGAACGUAGCGUUGGCACCGUUACUCAACAUACUGUUACGACUUUGUGACAUUAGAAUUAAAAUCUUUUGCACAUUUAAUUUGUUUACUUCCAAAUUAAUAUUUAACAAAAUAUUUUUUCACAUUAUCAAUGGACAAAACUCCAACGAAAAUAACUACACAAGAAAAAUGUAUGCUAGUAUUGUGUGCCAUAUCAUCUGUAAUUUUGUCAGGAUCGAUCAUUCUAAUUUUUAAGCAGAACUUUUUAUCAAUGGACAAACACCUCACACAGCUUGUCAGAGGCAUUAUUAUGAUGGAAAACUGUAAUGGUAUAUCUUGAAUUAUUGGUAGAAUAGUUCUUUGGAGCAAUAAAAACAGAUAAGACAGAUGAGAAAAUUGUCAAUACCCCACCGCAAAAGCAAAAGAAAAAAAGGAAAGGAGACAAAAGAGGAAGAAGAAAAAGAAAAAAGAACGAAGAAAAAAAUGGUGCCGCGCGGUAUAGGCAAGAAGAAAAAAUAAUAAUAAAAUAAUAAAAUAAUAGUGCACAACAGUCAUUUGAUUGCUAUAAAUAAAGGGGCAUUUCCCUCAUUUUAUUCAUCGAAUUCUUCAGUUCCUAAGCGAUUUAAGAGUCUAGUGAUUUGAGAGUUUGGGUAUAGUAUAGUUUUGAGUAGUGAGUUAAAAUAUUACAAUACUUAUAACUUAUUUUUACUAAUAAAAUAUUUUUCUUCUAUCUUCACCCGUGGACGUAGGGUCAAAGCCGAAUCACAUAAUUUUUAGUAUCCCUAUGUGAUUAUGUAUCUCAUUAUUUUUCAAUUUUACUUUAGUUACGUGUCUGCUACAUCCUUCAAUUUACUAACAAAAAUGGCCAAAAUUAUAUAAGUGACCCAAAUUUUUUUGCUAUUUCCAAGAAAUCUCCAAUCUGAAUGGGCCAGACCAGAGGGAGGCAAGUUAGAAAUACGUUUCCUUCAUAGACAAUAACAGCGAUGAGUCGAUGACAUCGAGCCACGUCGGUAUCAAUAUUGAAUUAAAGGUGCAAUUAUUCAGCCAAUGAGCCUUACACAUCAAGAUAAAAGUCAAGAAAAUGAAUAUUUAUCCUAAUUAAAACACUUUCUGGCUGCAUUUAGUUGUUUCCAUUUGAAGUUAAAAGCAACGUUUCUUUCGUUUUGUGGGCAACUCGACUCAGUUAGCUGGCUUCUAGUGCUAGUAAGUGAAAAUAGAAGGCUAAUGAUUUAUUUGUUAUCUUUUGAUAAAAUUAUUAAAGAUAUAAUAGAUUUUUCAUGAUACAAAUAAAAAAUCACAUCAACAUAGCUUCCAAAGUACAACAGCUAAUGUUUACCAAACACUUUGUUGUAGCUUUUAAGCUACAGCUGCCCAACUUUAAUUUCAAAUGCACCCUUAAUAGGUUGAUUGAAUUUGUGGGAUAUAGAUUCCACAUAUCGUAUGACCUAGUAACUAUACAAGUGGUUCGUGAUCAAGACACAACAUUUGCUUCCGGCCCGGUGACCCAGCAAUCGCUGCAUUGGUCGCCACCUAUGGUGCCAACGAUAUUGCAUGGUCCAAUUGUGGCCUUGAAUGGAAAAAGUUGAGCAAAUUAUUUGUGGACACGAUGAUAAGUAACGCAAGCCUUGAUGCUAGUUAUGGUCCAAGAAAACAAGAGAUAUGCAUAACAACAAAAAGGAAAAAAAAAAAAAAAAAAAAAAAGGCAUUUGCAAGCCCAUUGAUAUUGGUGAAUUGUCGAUUUCAACUUUGGCAUGUGUAAUCCAGAGCCUGCGCGCUGUGGUGUGGCGCUGGCACGCUUGCAUUGACGAGGGGACAAGUCUUGGGGCUGAGCUAACAUUUAAGCUCGCAGAACUCAUGGUGCUAAUGGGAACACCAAAUAUUUUUUGACAUAUUUUGGUGCUUUCAUGGUUUAAUUCAAGGUAUAGAAAGGAGUGUUGAGAAUGUCAAAUAAAACGGUAUUGAAUGGAAGUUGUUAAAGACACGAUCCGCACCGAACGACAACAGCACGGUUGCUAAAAAUCCUUCCGUAAUAGGCAUAUCUAAUUUUUGAAAAAGUGUAACCUCUACAUUUAUAAAUAUACUCAAUGUAUAAUGUUUUACUUAAGAAAUGAAAAACUUGUUUGUUCAAGGAGAAUAAAGAAAAAUUUUCUAUGAUUUUUCUAUGGUUUGAACAAAGAAGGUUUUAACGAGUAUUAUAGACCUCGAUUGAAUGUUCGAAUGUAUAAUAAAAGAGAAACUGUCACAUAAAUGACAAAGAUACUUGAAAAAAAAAAAAAAGGGCAGCAAUAGAGAAUUAGAUCCGACUGUACAAAUAACUAGUUAAUUCAUCGAUACAUCAUUUUCUUGCUAGAAAAUGACAAUUAUGACAGCAAGCCACGAUAGUGUCAAUAUUGAAAUUGAUUUGCAAUUAUUCAGCCUAUGAGCCUUACACGUCAAGAUAAAAGUCAAGAAAAUGAAAGUUAAUAUCAAUUAAAACACUUCCAUUUCUAUGUGAAGUUAAAAAACAACGUUUCUUUUGUUUUGUGGGGGAUUCAACUGAGCACGCGCCACUAGCUAGCUGGCUUCUAGUUCUAGCAUAUGAAAACAGAAUUCUAAAGAUUUCACUUUCACCUUUUUUCUUUUUUUGGGGUUUUGAAUCAAAGUCAAGGUCGCACUGAAUAAUAUGUAAAAUUUGAAAAAGAAGAAUUAAUAGAGAACAAAGUUUUGUUUUAAAUUCACAUGGUGUGCAUACAAUUCAACAAACACUUCCUAUAAUAAAUCUGGAGUUGUAUCCCACGUUGAACAAUAAAGGAAAGUCACCUAAAUAUACAUGUAGGAUAAGUUACUUUAUUUAGUAAGUUUGUAUUUUCUUCUUUCUUCUAGUUUACAUAUAAAUUUGAUUAGAUAACUUAACACAUAUUUUAAUACUUGAUCAGAAGCCCGACGUACAGGUGGAUCUAGAAACUUGAUUUCUAAGAGUAAUACUAUAAUAAAAAAAUAAUGAUUCAUAGAACCAAUAUCAAAAUUUGUUUACAAGAUUGCCCCCACUCAAAGGUAAUUUUCAUAGAAAUUAAUAGGAAAUUUAAUUGUUAGUGGGGUCAAAUUGCCCCCACACUCUGAAUGUAGAUCCACGCCCGACCCUGAGUCAAGUAUAUUUUGCCACAUAUACUCUGAAUGUCGGCAGGAAAAAUCUUCCACUUUAGUUAAAAAUUUUCACUUAAAAAAUAUUUAUGUUAAUAAAGUUCGUAAAGGAAAUGAGUUUAAUUAAUGAAUAUUAUAGGAGAAAUUAAAGGAAAUGAGUUUAAUUAAAGAAUAUUAUAGGAGAAAUUCUAUUGUUCGGCUUUUAAUAAAUUAAUUAAUAGGUUUAAAAGAUUAAUAUACAUCAAAAUAUUAUUAGUUGGUGGGGGUUCCACAUCGGACUAAUACGUGUCACCUUACUUGUGAGAUUAAGACAAUCGACUUAGACUAUUUAAAUAUGUUUGAAGCUUAGAUGGCACCGCUUCAAUUUGCAUUACUGAAUGUCAUUCUUUAUCCUAAUUACUACCGUAAUUGAUAACAUGCAAUUGAAGUAACUAAUAUUAGCACUUGGCUAUAAAUGAACUAAAGGCCGUGCAAUUGAAUCUUUACUUGAUCACUUCACUCCUUUAUUUUGCUAACACAGAUUUUGAGAUAUUAAAACGAAAUAAUAAUUGAAUCUGGCUUUGUGGGUCGAUGAUGCUAGCAAAAACGAGACCACAAUUAUCACUUGUUUAUUUGCUGUAUUUGACGUUGUUUCAUAUUGGUAGUAAUAGGGUCAGUUUUUAAUCUUUUUAUAUUAAAGUUAAGUCAAUUUGUUAUCAAAAAAAAAAAUUGGUUGAGUUUAAUUAUAUUGCUAUGUACAUUAAAUAAUUAUAAUAUUCUUGAGGGAAAAAGACACCUAGAACCUCAAGGUUUGGGGAAAUGGUCACAAAGACUCCUAAGUUUUAAAAAAGGAACACUAAGAUCUUUUUUUACCCAUAAUACCCUUUGACUAGAGUAAUUAAAAAAUUGACUUUAAAGGUUUUUAAAUAAUUCUAAUUUAAUAUAAAUCAUAUAAUCUAUCUAGUAAACUAAUAAUAUUAAAUUAUUUUUUAUAUUUAAAAUAAUGUUAAAUUUUAAAUUAUUAUAUUUAUAAAAUUAUAAAGAUUUUAAAUAAAUAUUUGGAUUGAAUAUAUUUUACAAUUAAAAGUCUUCCUAUUAAUAAUAUUAAAAUUUAAUUUUACAAAAUAUAUAUUCAAAAUAUUUUUAAUUUUAAUUUAUUUAUUUUAAUAUUAUGUUUCUACCUAUUAUUAAAAAUUACUUUAAUAUAAUAAAAUAGGUCUAAUAGAUUGAAAAAUAUGAAAAUAUUUUUAAAAUUUUAAAUUAUUUUGAAAUGUAUAUAUUAUUACAUUUAUUUCAAUGUCAUAUUUUCAUUUAUUAUAAAAUUUUGGGGUUAUUUUUUUGGGAAUUUAUAGAGUCAAAGAGCAUUAUAAUUUAAUCCAUGCACAAUAUCUAUAAUUAUAUCGGUUGUCGGCUGAUUUCGUGGAGGGGGCGGCAGUUCAAAAUUUUUACGUGCAUGUUGGAUGGACGUCUCUAUUAAAGGAGAGCCACCACUUGCAUGGUAAUUUUUUUAAAUAAAUAUAUACAUUUCAAAACAUUAUUUUCUUGUUGUAUAGUUAACAUGUCACCUUAGAUGUAUUUUAGAGCUUCUCCUAUUAAAGAUAAUCUCAUGCAGUGUUACAGAGUAUGGUAAUAUGGUAUAGAUGAGAGCAUCUGAUUAAAUGAAGCAGCUGGUAAUGCUUACGUGUGUGAGUUAGUUAUCCAGCUCAGCAGCAAAGCAAACGAAAUGAAUUGCAUGCAUAUUAGAUCCAACAAACUGGUAAACUCUAGAUUCUUCUUUCAUUUAGUAUAAAUACCAAGUUGUUAUCAUUUGCUAAAUAUAUAAUAAGAUGAUCAUUUUCAGAUCUUUCCUUUAUAAUUUUCUAUAACUUUCUCGUUAGUUUCUCUUGAACCAAACACUUUGUACGAACUCUUUCGUGCAGUGAUACUUCUCGUGAUCUAAUCAUUAGUAGAAUCUAUAAUUUCGCUACUGUAAUAAAAUCUGUCACUACCCUAUAUGAAUGUAGAUAUUUGACGCGAUUUGUAAUUGCUUCCGACAGGAAAACAGCAAUAGUUUUAUUGAAAUUUGUGGUAUAGAUUCCACGAAUCUUAUGACAGAAUACUGACCACUCCAACCCUAUCCGCAUUUACACGAUUAAUACACAAGCUUAGAUGUGACAAUGCAUUUGUCACUCAUUCAAAUUCAUCCUGAAACACUAUACACUAAAUAAUCGAAUAUGGCUUCGUGGGUCGAUGAUGCUAGCAGCAACGAGACUGCAAUUAUCACUUGUUUUGUUGCUGUACUUGUCGUGGUCUAUUUCGCAUGGAAUGUAAACAAAUCAAGUAAAGCAAAUGCUAAAUUGCCACCAGGACCUCGGGGCUUGCCAGUAGUCCGAUACCUCCCAUUUCUUGGAACUACUGACUUACACAAGACAUUCACGGAGUUAUCUGGAGUUUAUGGUCCGAUCUUCAAGAUUUGGCUUGGGAAUAAAUUGUGUGUAGUGGUGACCUCGCCUACCCUAGUUAAACAAGUGGUCCGUGAUCAAGAUAUAACAUUCUCAAACCGCGACCCACCGAUCGCUGGAACUGUGACCACCUACGGUGGCAAUGAUAUUGCACUUUCCAAUUACGGUCCCGAAUGGAAAAAGUUGCGAAAAUUAUUUGUGAGCAAGAUGAUGAGUAAUGAGACCCUUGAUGCUUGUUAUGCUCUAAGAAAACAAGAGGUUAAAAAUACUAUCAGGGAUUUGUAUAACAACAAUAAGGAUAAUAUUGGCAAUGGCAAUGGCAAGCCCAUUGACGUUGGUGAAUUGUCGAUUUCAACUUUGGUACGUGUUAUGCAGAACAUGCUGUGGGGUCAAGCAUUGGAAACAAGAGAGAAAGAGAUUACUAAUCUCGGGGCUAAUCUUGCAGAACUCAUGGUGCUACUGGGAACACCAAAUAUUUCGGAUAUUUUUCCAGUGCUUUCAUGGCUUGACAUGCAAGGUAUAGAGAGAAGAGCUAAGAAGAUUUCUCUAUGGUUUGAAAAUAUUAUCAAUUCUGGUGUUGAACAGUAUAGAAACAAGUUCUCUGUUGUUAAAGGUGAAGAAGCUGCAGCACGAAAAAAUAUUGAACGAUCAAGAAAUAAGGACUUCUUGCAGUUGCUGUUGGAGCUUCAGGAAAAUGAAGAUAGUGCUUCAUCUAUUAGCAUGAACCAACUAAAGGCCGUGCUCGUGGUAUGUUAAGCAACUAGACACAAAAAGUUGUAAAAGCACAGCGAUAUAUUUGCGCGAGGCCCCGAGUGAUGUUUUGCCUCGAGAACUCUCAAUUUUAUCUUACGGUAAAAAAUGUUUUUCAACUUUUUUUUUUAAUUAGAAUUUUAUUGCAAUUUAUUUAACAGGACAUAAUUGUGGCCGGAACCGACACCACAACUACGAUGGUGGAAUGGACAAUGGCAGAGUUGAUGCAACAUCCACAAGUAAUGAAGAAAGUUCAAGAAGAAUUCGCUCAAGCUGUGGGCAUGGACAGUUGUGUUGAAGAAUAUCACUUGCCUAAAUUAAAGUAUUUAGAUGCUGUGGUGAAAGAAACAUUUCGUUUGCAUCCUGCGUUGCCCUUAUUGGUACCUCGCACGGCAAGCAAGAAUAGCAACAUUGGUGGCUAUACCAUUCCCAACGACACUAAUCUUAUGUUGAAUGUUUGGGCUAUCCACAGGGACCCUCAACUUUGGGAUAAUCCCUUAGAAUUUCGACCUGAGAGGUUCUUGAAUGAUGGUAUCAUAAGCAAUUUCAAUUACUCGGGUAACAAUUUUCAGUACUUGCCAUUUGGUUCUGGUAGAAGGAUGUGCGCUGGGAUUGCUCUAGCUGAGAGGAUGUUGAUGCUUGUUCUGGCUUCGUUGUUGCACUUGUUUGAGUGGAAAUUGCCCUCGGGCACAAAGCUAGACUUAUCUGAAAAGUAUGGGAUUGUCAUGCGGAAAAAAGAGCCUCUAAUUGCUAUUCCAACACCAAGGCUACCAAAUUCAGAUCUCUACCAGUAAGAUCAAAAUGGUUUUGAUAAUAUUAUUUCCCAUUGUAUUGGAUUUGAAGUUCAAUCAUAAUAAAAUAUUUUAAUAAAAUGUCCUCGGUUGCUAAUUUUUCAAUAGUAUAAUCUGCACCUGUCUUUUAUAGCAAUUUGGUCUAAUUUAUUUUUGAAUUAAAAUCCAUAAAUAUUUAUAUUUUUUUAAUUAUAUUAGGAAUUAUGUGGGGUGUAUGGUCUGAUCUUCGAGCUAUGCCUUGAAAACAAAUUAUGCAUAGUCGUGCACACGCUUUCCCUAAUUAAGUUUGUGGUUCGUGCUCAAGGCACAGCAUUCACCCCCCGCGACCCAACAAUCGCUACAUUGUUCCCCACCUAAAGUGCCAACAUAUUGCAUAAGUAACGCAAAAUAUGGUCCCCAAUGGAAAACGUUGCGCAAAUUAUUUCUGGGCAAGAUGAUAAGUAACGCAAGCCUUGAUGCUUGUUAUGGUCUAAGAAAACAAGAGGUUAAAAAUACUAUCAGAGACAUAUAUAAAACAACAACAGAAAAAAUUGGCAUUAUCAUCGAUAAUGGUGAGUUGUGGAUUUCAACUUUGGUAUGUUUAAUUCAGAACCCGCAGUGGGGUGGCGCUAGCACGCCUGCGUUAGGAGACGAGGGGACCAAUCUUGGGGCCGAGCUAAAAUAUAGGCUUGUAGAGCUCAUGCUGCUAAUGGUAAUGGGAACACCUACUAUUUCGGAUACUUUUCCGAUGCUGGUUUAAUUCAUGGUUUAGAAAGGAGAACAAAGAAGAUUUUUCGAUGCUUUGAAAAUAUUAUAAUUUUUAUAAAAUCUCUUAUUGAUAACUAAACAACUAAAAUUUCUGUAAAGUUUUUGUGGACUUUUGAUCUCCUAUGGUGCCAAUAUUUUCGACUAAUUUUUUCCUUCAAUUAAUGAUGUUGGUUGAGAAAGACUAUUUUUCUUGCAAUAAUAUAGUAUUCGUGGUCCUAUUAGGGUUCCGAAUGGAGAAAGUUGCACUAAGUUUUUUGAGUACCAAAUGAUGAGUAAUGUACGUAAGCCUUGAUGGUAGUUAUGGUCUAAGAAAACAAGAGGUUAAAAAUACUAUCUGGGAUUUGUACAACAAUAACAAAAUUGGCAAGCCCAUUGACAUUGGUGAAUUGUCAGUUUCAACCUUGGUAAGUGUUUUCAGAACAUGCUGUGGGGUGAAGCGCUUGGAAUAAGAAAGAAACGGAUGACGAAUAUUGGGGCUGAGCUUAGAUUUAAACUUGCAGAACUCAUGGUGCUGUCAGGAACACCGAAUAUUUCGGAUAUCUUUCCAGUGCUUUCAUGGUUUGAUAUACAAGGUUUUGAGAGAAUAGCAAAGAAGAUUUCUCUAUGGUUUUAAAAUAUUAUCAAUUCUACUGUUGAACGCUAUAGAAACAAGGUCUCAGUUGUUAAAAGUGAAGAAGAAGACGCAGCAGCAGCAGCAGCAGGGAACAACAUUGAAGGAAGGAAUAAGGACCUGGUGCAGUUACUCUUGGAGCUUCAAGGUAAAGAAGAAAAUGCUUCAUCAAUUAACAUGACGCAAUUUAAGAGCUUGCUCGUGGUAUGUUUGCGCAACUAGCCACAGACAGUUACAGAAACUGAGUUUGGCAGAUUACGACCGUUUCUGGUGAUUAUAUAACUAUUUGUGGCUGUUUUUUGUUUUUUUUUUCUUUUAAUUGGAAUUUUAUUGUAAAUUUCUUAACAGGAUAUAAUUUAGGGUGGAACCAACACCACAACUAUAAUGGUGGAAUGGACAAUGGCAUAAUUGAUACAGCAUCCACAAGUAAUGGAGAAUGUAAAGGUAGAACUAAGUCGGGCCGUGGCCAUUGACAGCCAUGUUGAAGAAUUUCACCUACCUAAGUUAAAAUAUUUAGAUGUUGUGGUGAAAGAAACAUUCCGCACGAUAAUAUAAUAUAUGAAUCAUAUAUCCUCUAUUGGUUUUUUGCUCCUUUUUUUUUCAAUAGCUUAAUCUAUCAUUAAAAUCUUCUGAAAUUCUAAAUUAAUAUACAUUCAACCUAGAGUUCAACCCAAAGUUUUAUUGAGCAUUAAAAAAAAAAAUUCUACGACUAAAAAUUUUACAGAGUAUAAAUUAAAAAUUAUGCGCCUACUAACAGACAAAAAACAAUUGAUACACAUUCACCAAUCAAAGGCAAACAAGAGAUUAUUAACAAUAACUUAAUAAUAAAAUUAUAAGGAAUCAAAUAGAAAUGGUACCUAGAAACACAUCACGCCAUUUAAUCAAUCACUUACCCAUAAAAUCCAAACUUAUAAACUAUUAAGGGGGGGAAAUGGAUACCUUUGGGUUUCAUUAAAUCAAAAUUACAACACCAUUAAAUACUCAAAAAUGAAAAAAAAAAAAUCAUACCCAAUAAAAGAGAAAAAAAUAACCCACAAAAAAAAUCAUCAAGAAAAUAAAUUUGAGACUAAGAGAAGAUAUUAAUUAACGCCUGGGUUGCAUUGGAACCACGGCUUUGGCUUCCAUUUUUCAAUUCUUGGUCACAAGUGAUUUCUUGUUUGUUUGCAAUGAUGACGGUUGAUUAAUGAAGCUCUAUUAACAAUGAAUGAAUCAAAAAACUUGAGCCUUGAAAAGACUAACGGUCAUAUUUUUCAACUCCGAAUUAGUGGCGUUUGAUGAGUCCUUGCCAAAACAAUCACUCGGCAGAUAACGAUCAUUUUUCAACCAGCAAAACUCAUUCAUUGUUUUUCACCUUAGUGAAGAUUUAAAAAUUGUUUCAAAAUAGGAUUCUUAAAAAAAUAAUAAUAAAAUGAUAUUUAACUUAAUUCUAACUUAGGAAAACAAAAUAUCUACACUCCCAAAGUUUGGAGAAAUGGUCAUUAAUAUCCCCAACUUUCCAAAAAGAGACACCAAGAACCCUUUUAACCAUAAUACUAUUUACUUCUAUUAUCCCAAAAAACAAUUGACUCUAAUAUUUUAUAAUAAAUAAAAAUAUAACAUUAAAAUAAAUGUAAUAGUAUAUACAUUUUAAAAUAGUUUCAAUAUUUAAAAAGCAUUUUAAUAUUUUUAAAUUCUAUUUUAUAUAUAUUGAUUAUUUUAAAGUAAAUUUUAUAAUAAAUAGAAUCAUAAUAUUAAAAUAAAUGCAUUAAAAUUUAAAUUAUUUUGAAUAUUAUGUAAAAUAAUAAUUUUAACAUUAUUAGUAUAUGAGAAUUUUUUUAAUUGUAGAAUGCAUUUAAUGCAAAUAUUUAUUUAAAAUCUCUACAAUAAAUAAAAAUAUACUAUUAAAACAAAACUCUACAAUACAUACAUACAUACAUAUACAUUGGCCUGGUAUUUUUAUUUUUCAUUUUUAAACUUAUUAAAUCCUCUAACUAUCAUUUGAUUUUUUUUUUUUUUCAAUGAUCAAGAGGUCAUUGCCGGAUAAAUGAUUAAAAUCAACUAGUUCUACAAGAAUAUCUCUUUUUAAAGGAAGAUGAUUCUCUCUCUCGAAAUUUUUUUAUCUCGUGCUACAAACUAAAAACUUAUGCCACUUCAUUAACCACAAAGAUCUUUGAGGAAAUGAUGCUUCCCUCCCCCCCCCCCCCCCCCCCCCUCCCACAAAAAAAAAAAAGAGUCCUUCCAUAUUGUGUGAAGGCUAAUAUAUCGAUGAAUCUAGAUUUCUUUAAAUUUUUUGUUUUACUCAAUUCGAGAUAAUAAUUCAAUCCAUGCAAAUAUCUAUCAUUGUAUGAGCUGACCAGUUAAUAGGUUGAUUGAAUAUAUGUGGUAAAGAUUCCACGUAUCUCAUGACAGAAUGCUGACCACUGGAACCCUAUCUACUUUUACGCGAUUAAUUCACGAGCUUAGGCACAACAAUUGCAAUACAAAUUAUCCCCUCAUCGUAUAUUUCGUUAAAAUUCAUUCUGAAGCAGUAAAACUAAACAAUCGAAUAUGGCUUUGCGGGUCGAUGAUGCCAGCAGCAAUGAGAGUGCAAUUAUCACUUGUUUAGUUUCUGUGCUUGCCGUGGCUUAUUUCGCAUGGAAUGUGAAAAAAUCAAGGAAAGCAAAUGCUAAACUGCCACCAGGAACUCGCGGCUUGCCUGUAGUCGGAUACCUCCCAUUUCUCGGGACUACUGACUUGCACAAGAAAUUCACGGAAUUUAUUUUACUAUUAUAUUUAUAUUCAAAAUAAUUUUAAUUAGCUUUUAAAAUGAAUGAUUUUAGGAAAUUAUAAAUAAAGGUAACUAAGAAUUCUCUUAAUGCAAUAUAUUAUUAAUUAGUUUAAAAAUACAAAUUUAUUAAUUAGAGAAAUUAUUAGUGAAUUUAAAUUAAUGAUCUUAAUGAUUUGUUUGUACGAUUGCCCCCAAUCAAAGGUAAUUUUCCUAAAAAUUAUUAGGAAAUUAGAGAAAUUUAAUUUUUUUUAGUGGGUUCAAUUGCCCACACACCCCGACUGAAGCAUUUUUUACAAUAUGUACUCCGUUUGUCGGCAGGAAAAUAAAGGUCUUGACACAUGAUCACUUCAUUCCUUUAUUUACUUUGCGAACGCAGAUUUUGAGGUAUUAAAACAAAUAAUAAUUGAAUAUGACUUUGUGGGUCGACGACGCCAGCAACGAGGAGACCGCCAAUUAUCACAUUUUAAGUUUGCUGUAAUUGCCAUUGUUUUAUAUUAGUAGAAUAUUAGUGAUAAGAUAAUUGUAGAGUUUUCAUUUUUUUAAUAUUAAAAUCAAGUCAAUUUAUUAUAAUAAAUUUAGUUGAAUUUAAUCGUAUUACCACAUAAAUUGAAUAAUAAUAGAAUUCUCCACAAAUAUUUCAAUAUUUUAAUCUCAAGCAUUGGAGUGGCAUUUAUUUGUUAUGCGGUCGAUUUUAGAAUUUUUAAAAUUAUUCGUUACUGAAUUGCACCAUAUGCUGCAUCACCUGGAACUUACUAAACGGAACGUAGCGUUGGCACCGUUACCAACAUUCACUGUUACGACUUUGUGACAUUAGAAUUAAAAUCUUUUCCACAUCUAAUUUGUUUACUUCCAAAUUAAUAUUUAACAAAAUAUUUUUUCACAUUAUCAAUGGACAAAACUCCAACGAAAAUAACUAUACAAGAAAAAUGUAUGCUAGAAUUGUAUGCCAUAUCAUCUGUAAUUUUGUCAGGAUCGAUCAUUCUAAUUUUGAAGCAGAACUUUUUAUCAAUGGACAAACACCUCACACAGCUUGUCAGAGGCAUUAUUAUGAUGUAAGAUUGUAAUGGUAUAUCUUGAAUUAUUGGUAGAAUAGUGAAUAACUAUUUGGAGCAAUAAAAACAAAUAAGACAGAUGAGAAAAUGGCUAAAAUUAUAUAAGUGACCCAAAUUGUUUUGCUAUUUCCAAGAAAUCCCCAAUCUGAAUGGACCAGCCAGAGGGAGGCAAGUUAGAAAUAUGUUUCCUUCAUAGACAAUAACAACGAUGAGUCGAUGACAUCAAGCCACGUCGGUAUCAAUAUUGAAAUAAAGGUGCAAUUAUUCAGCCAAUGAGCCUUACACAUCGAGAUAAAAGUCAAGAAAAUGAAAAUUUAUCCCAAUUAAAACACUUUCUGGCUGCAUUUAGCUGUUUCCAUUUGAAGUUAAAAACAACGUUUCUUUCGUUUUGUGGGCGACUCGACUGAGCUAGCUGGCUUCUAGUGCUGGUAAGUGAAAAUAGAAGGCUAAUGAUUUCACUUUCACAUUUUUCUUUUCCUUUUUUGGGAAUCAAAGUCAAGGUCAAGAAGAAUAAAUGGAGAAUUCGGAAAAAUGGGUGCAUAAUGUGAUCCAUUCAUGAAGAAGAGUACGUGAGCGUCGGGCAACAGUAUUUUUACCUAUUAAGCUCCAGUUUAAUUUUGUUGUAGGAAAACAAAAUUUUGUUUUCAAUUCACAUCGUGUGCAUCCAAUUCAACAAACACUUUGUAAUAAUUAAUGUUGAGUUGUAUCCUACGUUAAGGAGAGUUACUUAAAUUUAUAAAUAGGAUAAAUUACUCUAUUUAAUAAGUUAAUGUUUUCUUCUUUCUUCUAGAUUACAUAUAAAUUUAGUCAGAUAACCUAACACAUAUUUUAAUACUCGAUCAGAAGCCCUAAGCAGUGGUGGAUCCAAUAAAUUGAUUUAUAUGGUGUAAUAAUGUAAUAAAAAAAUGGUGAUUCAUAAAAUUGACCCAAUAUCAAAAUUUGUUUGCAAGAUUACUCCCCACUCAAAGGUAAUUUUCCUAAAAAUUAAUAGGAAAUUUAAUUGUCAUUGGGAUCAAAUUGCCCCCACACUCUUGAAUGUAGAUCCUCCCCUGGCCUUGAGUCAAGUAUUUUUUCCAAUAUAUACUCCGAAUGUCGGCAGGAACAACCUUCCACUUUAAUUUAAAAUUUUUACUUGAAAAAUUAAUUAAUGUUAAUAAAGUUCGUAAGAGAAAUGAGUUUAAUAAAAGAAAAUUAUAGGAGAAAUUCUAAUGUUUGUCUUUUAAUAAAUUAGUUUAUAAGUUUAAAAAGUUAACAUAUAUCAAAAUAUUAUUGAUUGGUGGUGGUUUCACGUCAGAUUAAGACGUGACACUUUACUUGUGAGACUGAGACAAUCAGCUUAGACUACUUCAAUAGGUUUGAAGCGUAGGCGGCACCCAUUCAAUUUGCACCAAUGUCUAUCAUUCUUUGUCCUAAUUACUACGAUAAUUAAUAACAUGCAAUUGAAAUUAUUAAUGUUAGUACUUGCCUAUAAAUAAAGGUAUUGUACUUGAAUCUUCAUAGAUGAUCACUUCAUUCCUUUAUUUACUUUGGUAACACAGAUUUUGAGAGACAUUAAAACUAAAGAAUAAUUGAAUAUGGCUUUGUGGGUUGAUGAUGCCAGCUCCAACGUGAGUGCAAUUAUCGCAUGUUUAAUUGCUCUAUUAGCCGUGGUCUAUUUCGUGUGGACAAGGAAAACAAAUGCUAAACUUCCACCAGGACCUCGCGGCUUGCCUGUAAUCGGAUACCUCCCUUUUCUCGGAACUACUGACUUGCACAAGACAUUCACGGAAUUAGCUGGUGUGUAUGGUCCAAUCUUCAAGCUCUGGCUUGGCAACAAAUUGUGUGUAGUGGUGAGCUCGCCUUCCCUAGUUAAACAAGUGGUUCGUGAUCAAGAUAUAACAUUCGCUAACCGCGACCCACCGAUCGCUGGACUCGUGGCCUCCUUUGGUGGCAAUGAUAUUUUAUUUUCCAAUUAUGGUCCUGAAUGGAGAAAGUUGCGCAAAUUAUUUGUGGGCAAGUUGAUGAGUAACGCAAGUCUUGACGCUUGUUAUGCUCUAAGAAAACAAGAGGUUAAAAAUAUAAUCAGGGAUUUGUAUAAUAACAACAAAACUGGCAAGCCCAUAGAUGUUGGUGAGUUGUCGAUCUCAACUUUUGUAUGUGUUAUACAGAACAUGCUAUGGGGUGAAGCUCUUGAAUUAAGAGAGAAAGGGAUCAGUAAC
rnacentral:lncRNA from 1 species